rnacentral:lncRNA from 1 species
GUGGCAAGUUUGGUUCUAUGUAUGAGAUGGUUCUCUGGACUAUGAAACUAGUAUACUAUAUACAAGUUCACUUUAAAGUUACAUUUGUAUGAUUACUAUGUUUAUAUUUGCGCUUCAUUAUUAAUGUUGAUUGGUGGUUCAGAAGUUUGGGCCUAUUUUUAUAGGAGCUGUAUCCAAACACCAGAUUUUGAUUUCCACACUUAGGCACAAGCUUGCUCAGGCUUCAAAAAAUUUCUGGCUCCGCCACUGCUAGAUGAUGCAAGAGUAGUACUAACUUAGGAGUAGUAGAUACGCUAGAUAAUGCUCCAUUUCAAACUAGAUAAUGCUCCAUUUCAAACUAGAUAGUGCUGACAGAGAUGACGAUGGACAAUGUGAGUCUGCCUUGCCGAUAUUUUCACUUAGGCCUUCUCGGCAUGGCUUCUUGCAGGCCUCCCCUCCAACUCCCCUCCCUCUUUCUCCAUGCUAUGCAGCACCACCUCUUUGUGCUCACAUUGGAUGUAGCUACCAAGCCCUAACCAACCCUGAUGGCCCAUCGUGGUGGCUGCAGAGCUCAUUAGAGUGUAGAUUGGAUACACCGUGUUUCAACUGCAACUUUUUUGAGUAACAAGAAGUUUAUUUUCUAGCUUCUGUAUCUGCUCCCAAUUUAUUUUUACACCUUAAUAAUCUACUUCUAUGUAUGCAGCUGGAAGUGGAUAAGUCUGGCAAAAGCAACAAUGCGAUCACGUGCUAGUCUCGAGGGGUAAUACUUAUGCAUCUUUCGCUUGGCUAUUGCUAUAUGAUAUUAUUUAUAUAUUUCUUUUUGCUGUGCUUAUUUGUUUGUUUGAUUUGUCACCUCUGCAUAUCAUUUAGGAUGUAUUUACAGAGGGGUUAACUUUUACCUUAACUUUUUUUGCUGUACAAUCCUCCGGUUCUCAAUUAUGUUUGUGCAUUCUUUCUUUUAUUCUAGGUUCUCAAUUAGUGCAAUCCAUUCCUUUCGGUGCACUUGAAGAGUACGGUUUAGUGAAGCAAGUAACAAUAUUACAGAUUAUUGUUUUGCCAUAUUUGCCCAUGAAAGAUUUUUGUAUUUGAAGCGCAAAUAAUUUCUGCUCAAUCAAAUUAUGUACGUGAUAAUCAUUGCUUGUUGUGAUGAUGAAGUGUUGCACAUUUGGAAGAGUUUUGUGCCGACGAGUUAAACUUCAGCACGUCGAAAUCUUUAAUACGUUGAUUUAAAAUCUGAAACGAUAGCACCAUUUUUGAGUUUCUAAUUUGUUGCAGAUUUCUCAAAGAUACACAAGCUGAUGGUGGUUCGGAAGAUGUACAAGUUGCUGGAGGUUUGGAAGAUCUACAAGUUGCUGGAGUGACAAUAUAUAUGUAAUAUACCUUAGUUGUUGAACCUUGAGACAUCGGCAAGUUUUAUACUGCAUUUGGUUGGUUGUUUCAGCACACAAGCCAUUGUAUGCUUAUUUUGGUUGUGUGGCACGAUUUCUUUAGCUUAAACAUAUUUACUUUGCCUUCUGAGGCACAAUGUCAUUAGAAACGUAUAUUUUUAUCUGUUUUAUGUUAUUGAAUGAGGCCUUACAUGUAAUCUGAUUGAGUUGUAUGUAUAAGUUUUGUGAUCUGUCAUGUCUAUUCGAACAUAAUGAUUGGAUAUUAAAUGAGGGAUAUCUUGCUAGAACAAUUUAUAUUGCUUCCGAGAAAGCACGUCAUGGCAUAUUACCUGCCAGGUAAACGUGCUUGUGCAGGCAGCGGAAUUGCCAGCAAACUGUAGUGCAUAUGCUAGGAUGAAUCUGCCGGGAGAACAUAAACUGCCGGCAGAUAUAAUGGUCGGGGCAGAAGAACUGCCGGGGAUUGUUUAUCUGCCGGGAUAAGUAAUCCCCGGCAGCCGUUGUUGUGGCAGUUCUAUCUGCCGGGAGAAUCUCCGUCCCGACAGUCUAUCUGCCCUUUUAAGUGCGUUCUCCCGGCAGAUUAUAUGUCGGUGCAUUAGUGUUGUGGUGUAGUGAUAUUGCUAAGCUUCCUUUACAUGAUUUGUGAUACGUCUCCAACGUAUCUAUAAUUUUUUAUUGUUCCAUGCUAUUAUAUUAUCUAUUUUGGAUGUUAAUGGGCUUUAUUUUACAUUUUUAUAUUAUUUUUGGGACUAACCUAUUAACCGGAGGCCCAGCCCAAAUUGCUGUUUUUUUGCCUAUUUCAGUGUUUCAUAGAAAAGGAAUAUCAAAUGGAGUCCAAACGGAAUGACACCUUCGGGAACGUGAUUUUUGGAACAAACGUGAUCCAGAGGACUUGGAGUGGACGUCAAGCAAUCAACGAGGCGGCCAUGAGGCAGGGGGCGCGCCUACCCACCUAGGUGUACCCUCCCCCCUCAUGGGCCCCUCGUUGCUCCACCGACCUACUUCUUCCUCCUAUAUAUGUUCACAUACCCCGCAAACAUCCAGGAGCACCACGAAAACCUAAUUCCACCGCCGUAACCUUCUGUACCCAAGAAAUCCCAUCUUGGGGCCUUUUCCGGAGCUCCGCCGGAGGGGGCAUUGAUCACGGAGGGACUCUACAUAACUCCAUGGCCCCUCCGGUGAUGUGUGAGUAGUUUACUUGAGACCUUCGGGUCCAUAGUUAUUAGCUAGAUGACUCUUCUCUCUCUUUGGAUCUCAAUACAAAGUUUUCCUCGAUCUUCUUGGAGAUCUAUUCGAUGUAACUCUUUUUGCGGUGUGUUUGUCGAGAUCCGAUGAAUUGUGGGUUUAUGAUCAAGUCUAUCUAUGAACAAUAUUUGAAUCUUCUCUGAAUUAUUUUAUUUAUGAUUGGUUUAUCUUUGCAAGUCUCUUCGAAUUAUCAGUUUGGUUUGGCCUACUAGAUUGAUCUUUCUUGCAAUGGGAGAAGUUCUUAGCUUUGGGUUCAAUCUUGCGGUGCUCGAUCCCAGUGAUAGAAAGGGAAAUGACACAUAUUGUAUUGUUGCCAUCGAGGAUAAAAAGAUGGGGUUUACAUCAUAUUGCAUGAGUUUACCCCUCUACAUCAUGUCAUCUUGCUUAAGGCGUUACUCUGUUCUUAUGAACUUAAUACUCUAGAUGCAUGCUAGAUAGCGGUUGAUGUGUGGAGUAAUAGUAGUAGAUGCAGAAUCGUUUCGGUCUACUUGUCUCGGACGUGAUGCCUAUAUACAUGAUCAUGCCUAGAUAUUCUCAUAAUUAUUCACUUUUCUAUCAAUUGCUCGAUAGUAAUUUGUUCACCCAUCAUAAUACUUAUGCUAUCUUGAGAGAAGCCACUAGUGAAACCUAUGGCCCCCGGGUCUAUUUUCCAUCAUACAAGUUUCCAAUCUAUUUUAUUUUGCAAUCUUUUACUUUCAAUCUAUAUCAUAAAAAUACCAAAAAAAACUUAUCUUAUUAUUAUCAUUUCUAUCAGAUCUCACUCUUGCAAGUGGCCGUGAAGGGAUUGACAACCCCUUUAUCACAUUGGUUGCGAGGUUCUUAUUUGUUUGUGUAGGUACGAGGUGACUCGUGCGUGGUCUCCUACUGGAUUGAUACCUUGGUUCUCAAAAACCGAGGGAAAUACUUACCUUGCUUUACUGCACCACCCUUUCCUUUUGAAGGGAAAACCAACGCAGUGCUCAAGAGGUAGCAAGAAGGAUUUCUGGCACCGUUGCCGGGGAGAUCUACGCCAAGUCAAGAUAUACCAAGUACCCAUCACAACUCUUAUCCUUCGCAUUACAUUAUUUUCCAUUUGCCUCUCAUUUUCCUCUCCCCCACUUCGCCCUUGCCGUUUUAUUCGCCCUCUUUUCCUUUCGCCCUCUCUUUCCGUUCACCUCUUUUUCGCUUGCUUCUUGUUUGCUUGUGUGUUGGAUUGCUUGCUUGUCACGAUGCUCAAGAUAAUACUAAAUUGUGUGACUUUACCAAUACCAACAAUAAUUAUUUUAUUAGCACGCCGAUUGCUCCUCUUACCGAUGCUGAAUCUUGUGAAAUUAAUACUACUUUGCUGAAUCUUGUCAUGAAAGAUCCAUUUUUUUGCCUUCCUAGUGAAGAUGCCGCUACCCAUCUAAACAACUUUGUUGAUUUGUGUUAUAUGCAAAAGAAGAAAGAUGUGGACAACGAUAUUGUUAAACUUAAGCUAUUUCCGUUUUUGCUUAGAGAUCGUGCUAAAGCUUGGUUUUCGUCUUUGCCUAAAAAUACUACUGAUUCAUGGAAUAAGUGCAAAGAUGCUUUUAUCUCUAAGUAUUUUCCUCCCGCUAAGAUCAUCUCUCUUAGAAACAAUAUUAUGAAUUUUAAGCAACUUGAUCACGAACAUGUUGCACAAGCUUGGGAGGGGAUGAAAUUAAUGAUACGUAAUUGCCCUACACAUGGAUUGAAUUUAUGGAUGAUUAUACAAAAGUUUUAUGCCGGAUUGAAUUUUGCUUCUAGAAAUCUUUUAGAUUCAUUCACGGGAGGCACUUUUAUGGAAAUCACUUUAGGAGAAGCUACCAAACUCCUACAUAAUAUUGUGGUUAAUUAUUCUCAAUGGCACACUGAAAGAUCUACUAGUAAAAAGGUGCAUGCAAUUGAAGAGAUUAAUGUUUUGAGUGGAAAGAUGGAUGAACUUAUGAAAUUGUUUGCUAAUAAGAGUGCUCCUACUAAUCCUAAUGAUAUGCCUUUGUCUACUUUGAUUGAGAAUAAUAAUGAAUCUGUGGAUGUGAAUUUUGUUGGUAGGAGCAAUUUUGGUAAUGACGCGUCUAGAGGUAAUUUUAAUUCUAGGACUUUUCCUAGUAAUUCCUAUAAUAAUUAUGGUAAUUCCUACAACAAUUCUUAUGGAAAUUAUAAUAAGAUGCCCUCUGAUUUUGAAUCUAGUAUUAAAGAAUUUAUUACUUCGCAAAAGAGUUUCAAUGCUUUGAUUGAAGAAAAAUUGCUUAAUAUUGAUGAGUUGGCUAGGAACAUGGAUAGAAUUUCUCUUGAUGUUGAUUCUUUGAAACUUAGAUCUAUUCCACCUAAGCAUGAUAUCAAUGAGUCUCUCAGAGCCAUAAGAAUUUCCAUUGAUGAGUGCAAAGAAAGUGUCGGAUUUCGGGUUCCGGCAGACCCUUGAGGUUCGAACACUAGGGUGCGCGCGGAGCUUUCGUCUCCUACCUACCUGCACCCCUCCGCCUUGCUAGGAUCUAAACUAAGGAAAGAACAACACAAGAGACACAGGGUUUAUACUCGUUCGGGCCACCGUUGUGGUGUAAUACCCUACUCCAGUGUGUGGUGUGGUGGAUUACCUCUUGGGCUGAUGAUGAUGAACAAUACAAGGAAGAACAUCCUCGCGAGGGUCUGUUCUUGGCUGGGCGAUGAACUGCUGGGAGGAGCUCAGUCACCUUUCUCUCUCUCUCUCUCUCUCUCUCUCUCUCUCUCUCUCUCUCUCCGUCCGUCCUCCCCCCUGUCUAGCGGGUGGCUGGUCCUAUUUAUAGGGGCCUUGGUCCUUUUCCCAAAUAUCGAGCGGGAGGGGAGCCAACAAUGGCGGGCUAAUUUGAAAGGGGACAGCUAGUACUAGCUAUCCUGACAAAAGUAGUCUUCACCUGCGCAAAGCUCUGGUGAUGACGCCGUCUUGGGCUCCACGGUGACCACCGUCUCGUAGUCCUCCUGGUCUUGGUCUCGUUGCACCGAAAUGGCAACCUUUGCCUGAUGCCUUGGUACUCCGCGGCUGCGCUUGCCCCCCUUGCACCAAAGAGGGAAGGAGGACACUUCGCGGGCUGGCACCCGCCUGGCGCCCUCGAUCGUCAUGGCUUGCGUCACGGGCACCUUGUGAGGUACCCCGCCUUGAUCUCUCCGCCUCCUCGUGAGCCAGCCUAACGAGGCCAUGCCUGAGGAGGCUUCGUGUCGUCCGCCCCGCGAGGCUUGGCCCCUCGCGAGGGUCUUGGGUUUGUGUUGGUGAAGAUGGGCCGUGCUGGGCCUCCCUCCGAGCCACGCCGCAGGCCGCAGGCAGGCAAGUCUAGGGACCCCCGUUCCCAGAACGCCGACAGUAGCCCCCGGGCCCAAGGCACGCCCGGACUUGGCCGUGCAGGGAGGCGGAAGGCGAAGAGCGAAGCGCCACGGGCCCUAACAGCCUGCGGCCUUGGGCGCCACGUGGCGGUUGAUCGGACGUGGGCGCCUCCACUUCCCCAUGGUGCCUCAGUAACUACACGGAUUGGAAAAGUCCCUGCAUGAAAGCGGGUCAUAAUUACCUGCGACCGUGGGGGCCGUUGGUUGGCCAUCGCCAGCUAUAAGUAUGGACCGGCGCGCGCCCUUCCAGUUCAUCCUCCCUUGAUUCUCCUUUUUCUUCAUGGCCCCGUCGAGGAGGUUCUCGGCCGCAGAGAAGGGGAAGGCUCGCCAGGUUGAGCCCGCCUCUUCCCCGCCCAUGCGCGGCCGAGGGCGCCCUCGCAAACAUCAUGUGGCCACCAUGGUGGCUCCUCGCGGCCGCGGAGGCAAUCUUCAGUACAGCGACGGGCGGAUUGCCGCGGCCGGGGGGUGCGCUCUGGCUGCGCGUCCCCCUAGGCCGCGCUCUCGCGCUGCUGAAGUGCUGCCGGAGUUUGUCGUGUGGUCGGCGGAGCCGACUAGCACCCGGCUUCCACUUCCUCGCUUCCUCCUUGGCGAGCUCCCGGCCGGCGCCCCGUGCGGCCUCUGGCUCCAGGCCGACGGCUGCUGCAGCCGGGCCUCAUGGGUCUCACUGGAGGUCUCCGCGGCCGGGAGCCUGUCCCUGGCCCGCGGUUGGCAAACGUUUGCCCGCGCGCGUGGCCUGAGCCGUCGAUGCACCCUACACUUCAGGUUCGACGGCGAUGCCACCCUCUACGUGAGGGUGUUUGGGGAAGAUGGUCGCCGCGCAGGGUGUUUCCUCGAGGGUGAUGACCGCGGCUAGGAACCCAGCUCCGGCGAUGAUGGAGAGGGCAGCGCUCGCACGGCUGGCGGCGCUCGAGGUUCCUCAAGCUUCUCCGGUUCUUCUUCAGGCGGCGACUCUUCUAGUGGUGGCCGCGGGCAGCCUCCACGCCGUCGUAUCUGCUUGGGAGGUGGCAACGUGUCCGCCCGCCAUCACGCCCUGGUGAAGCGCGAGAGGGAGUCAGCCUGAGCUUAGGCAGCUCGGACCUUCCCUGUGGGCUGGUGUGAGGCGAGCUGCACCAGAUUUGUCCUUUCUUUUCCUUUUUCCUGCAUAACAAAGACAGUAGCGUGGAGCCCCGCGGGGGCGUGUUUGGGUUAUUGCUGUUAAUCAUCGUUUUGCUUUCGUUAUUGUACCUUCCGGCUACGUGCCCGCGCGUGGAUAAUUCCCGACCCCGGCCGUGGGGGGCGACCGACCCAGACCCUUUGUUUGUGUCGCGGUGCCCAUGGGACACGGACUGGAGGGGUGCUCCUAUGAUGGGCCCAGGUCGCGAACCCUUUGAAUGACCAGGGUAGGAACACUCGCGAGGGCGCUAGGCUGCCCCCCUCGCGAGGCCUUGCACAAGAGAAAUCGAGGUAGGAGAGCGAAAAGUCGGAGAACCACAAGCCAAAGACGGCAACAACUUCAAUAAAACUUUGAAUGAGAAGGAACGAGCCAACUGCGGAAAGCAAAUGAAAAGCCGCGUCCGGCACCUAAUCUAGUCUUCGACGUCUUCUCACCAGCGCGGAGCUAAGUGCUGCCACUAGGUGUGGGAGGGAGCCCCAGGGCCUGAGGCCGGCGCUCCUGAGACUCCGGGGCGUGUACAGCCCCAACUCAUUAUUACGUGAGAGUGUCAUGGGCGGUGAGCUUCACAGGCGUUGGCCUUCUUCAUAGGCUCCGGGCCUUUUCCAAACGCGAUAGCUUCAUAGGCAUUCGCCUUCUUCACAGGCUCCGGGCCUUUUCCAAAACGCGAUAGCUUCACAGGCAUUCGCCUUCUUCACAGGCUCCGGGCAUUUUCCAAAACGCGAUAGCUUCACAGGCAUUCGCCUUCUUCACAGGCUCCAGGCCUUUUCCAAAACGCGAUAGCNNNNNNNNNNNNNNNNNNNNNNNNNNNNNNNNNNNNNNNNNNNNNNNNNNNNNNNNNNNNNNNNNNNNNNNNNNNNNNNNNNNNNNNNNNNNNNNNNNNNNNNNNNNNNNNNNNNNNNNNNNNNNNNNNNNNNNNNNNNNNNNNNNNNNNNNNNNNNNNNNNNNNNNNNNNNNNNNNNNNNNNNNNNNNNNNGCAUUCGCCUUCUUCACAGGCUCCGGGCCUUUUCCAAAACGCGAUAGCUUCACAGGCAUUCGCCUUCUUCACAGGCUCCGGGCCUUUUCCAAAAUGCGAUAGCUUCACAGGCAUUCGCCUUCUUCACAGGCUCCGGGCCUUUUCCAAAACCCGAUAGCUUCACAGGCAUUCGCCUUCUUCACAGGCUCCGGGCCUUUUCCAAAACGCGAUAGCUUCACAGGCAUUCGCAUUCUUCACAGGCUCCGGGCCUUUUUAGGGGUAGAACCUCAGGAGGUGCUGGAUGUUCCAUGCGUUCUAGACUGGCACCCCCUCCUGAGUCUCCAAGCGCGCGGAGCCGGGCCUGGAAACAUGAACAACUUCGAACGGGCCCUCCCACAUGGGAGAGAGCUUGUGCAGCCCCUCCCUGGAGAGAACCCGCCUGAGCACGAGGUCUCCUACCUCGAGAGUUCUGGGGCGGAUGUUGCGGCAGUGAUAUCGCCGCAGUGCUUGUUGGUACCUCGCCGCUCGUAGCGCGGCUUCUCGGCGAUGUUCCUCCCCCAGCACAAGGUCCAUCCCCCGCAUGGCAUCCUGCUGCGCCUCGGCGAACGCCAGGACCCGCGCGGAGCGACAUCUGACCUCGUGAGGGAGGAUCGCUUCGGCUCCGUAGACCAGGAAGAACGGGUCUCUCCAGUCGGCUUGGUCGCGGUUGUGCGGAUGGACCACAACACGGACUGAAGCUCGUCGUACCAACCUCUACCGCAGGCCUCCAGCUUCUUCUUGAACGUCCUGGUCUUGAGGCCCCUCAGGACCUCCGUGUUGGCUCGCUCGGCCUGGCCGUUGCUUCGGGGGUGCGCCACCGAAGCGUAGCAUAUCUGCGUUCCAAGGUUAGCACAGUAUGUUUUGAAGAGGUUACUGGUGAACUGCGAACCGUUGUCCGUGAUGAUGCGAUUCGGCACCCCGAACCGGCUCACGAUGCCCUUGAUGAACUUGACAGCGGAACCCGCGGGAAUGGUGCGGACAGCCUCUACUUCAGCCCACUUGGUGAACUUGUCCACGGCGACGUAGAGGUAGCGGUAGCCCCCGGGCGCCCGAGGAAACGGGCCCAAAAUGUCCAGCCCCCAGAUUACGAAUGGCCAUGAAAGGGGUAUAGUCUGCAAGCCUCCAGCUGGCUGAUGGAUCUGCUUGGCGUGGAACUGGCAGGCCUCACAAGCUUUCACUAGUUCGACAGCGUCAUUGAGCGCGGUGGGCCAAUAAAACCCACUGCGGAACGCCUUGCCGACAAGGGUCCGUGAUGAUGAAUGAUGUCCACAGUCUCCGCCGUGUAUAUCUUCCAGCAGUUCCUUCCCUUGCUCCCUGGAGAUGCAGCGCAGGGAUACAUCGUUUGGCCUCUUCCGAUAGAGCUCUCCAUCCUUGAUGCAGUAUGCCGUGGCCUGGCGUGCCACUCGCUCCGCUUCCUCCUCCUUCUCCGGCAGGGCCCCUUGCGUUAGGUAACUCUGGAGCUCCGUGAUCCAACAUCCCUCCUGAGGUUCCAUCGUCAGGAGCAGGCGUGCUCCUGAGGCUGGGCCACAGGCCGGAGCCCCUGGGGCAGGUGGCUGGGGGAGCUCCUCCCGGGGCUGAGCUGUGUUCGACAAUGAUGGCAGGGCUGAGGGCUUGAAGAGCCGCUCCUCGAAAACGCCAGGCUCCUGAGGUAACCGCCUGGACGCCCGUUUGGCGAUGUCGCCGGCCUCCUGGUUGGUGCCACGGGGCACAUGCUGCAACUCCAACCCCCAGAACUGCUUCUCCAUCCUACGGACCUCCGCUAGGUAGGCUUCCAUGUGCUCAUCCUUUGGCUCGUACACCUUGUUGGAGAAAUUGACAAGGAUCUGCGAGUCGCCCUCGAUGGUGAGGCGUUUCACCCCCAGGGCAGCCGCGGCCUUCAAGCCCGCUAUUAAACCUUCAUACUCCGCUAUGUUGUUGGAGACCUUUUCACCUUGCUGGAAGCAGAGCUGCACGGUGUAGUAGAGCUUGUCCUGACUGGGCGAUAUAAGCACCGCCCCAGCCCCAGCGCCAUGCCUGGAGAACGCCCCAUCGAAAUACAUGACCCAGCCUUCUGGCGCUUCACUUCCCAGGGACAGGGACCAAUCCUCGCCGGCCUUGAGGCCUGGCGCCUCCGUCCAUUCUGCCACAAAAUCCGCCAACGCUGCUCCUUUGAUGACUCUGGUCGUGCUGAAUUCGAGCUGAAACGCUUGCAGUUCUAUGUUCCACUCAGCGACCCUUCCAGCUGAAUUAGGGCUCCUGAGCACUCUCUCCAGGGGGUAUGAUGAGACGACCUUGAUGGGGUGACCCUGAAAAUAGUGUUGUAGCUUGCGCGAGGCCACCAGUAGAGCAAGGAGGAGUUUUUGAGGCAUGGGGUACCGCGCCCUUGCAUCCCGCAACACCGUGCUGACGAAGUACACUGGGUGCUCAACGAGGUGGGGUGCGUCAGUGCUGGUGGCUCCCUUCGGAGACCAUGGCGCCUCUUGAGGCAAUGAGACCUCCUAAGACUGGCCAUCUGGGAGAGGGGCCCCUUCCGCCUCCGGUGCGCCCCUCUGCGGCGGCUGAUCCUCCUCAGCCGCGGUGGCAGUUUCUGCGGGCCUUCCUUGUCCCUGUUCUGCCUUGUCCCGAGCUGCUACCGCGGUUUUGAUUCAGCGCUCCUCUCUGACUGCCACCAAGGCUGCGCUGGCGGAGUAGGGAGUGGCGGCGAUGUAAAGCACCAGGGGCUGUUGAGGGCGCGGAGCCACCAUGACCGGUGGGCUGGUCACGUAUCUCUUGAGAUCCUAGAACGCCUUGUCGGCCUCUUCAAUCCACUCGAAGGGCCCCUUUUUCUUCAUUAGCUGGAAGAAAGGCAGUGCUCGUUCCCCCAACUUGGAGAUGAAGCGCCCUAGCGCGGUCACGCGCCCCGUGAGCUUCUGCAUUUCUCUGAGGGUCUUUGGCGGGCUCAUGUCUUCCACCGCCUUGACCUUCUCCGGGUUAGCCUCGAUGCCUCAGUGGGACAUGAGGAAACCCAAGAGCUUGCCCAGGGAGACUCCGAACACACACUUCUCUGGGUUGAGCCGUAGGUUCACUGUGUUGAGGCUCGCGAAGGUUUCCUCCAAGUCUUGUAUCAAGGUCCUGGCCUCCCAAGACUUUACCACAAUGUCAUCGACGUAAGCCUCAACAUUCUUCCCGAGCUGCGGGCCCAAGGUGAUGUGCAUCAGCCACUGGAAGGUCGCCCCUGCGUUACGCAGCCCAAAUGGCAUGCAUGUGUAGCAGUACACUCCACAUGGGGUUAGGAAGGCUGUCUUCUCGACGUCUUCUACCGCCAUCUUGAUCUGGUGAUACCCGGAGAAUGCAUCCAAGAAGCAUAACAGGUCGCAUUCCGCAGUGGAAUCGACGAUCUGGUCGAUGCGGGGGAGCGGGAAUGGAUCUUGCGGGCAUGCUUUGUUGAGGUUGGUGAAGUUGACACACAUGCGCUCCUUCCCUCCCUUCUUUGGCACAACGACAGGGUUGGCCAACCAAUCCGGGUAUCGGACCUCGCGAAUGACCCCUGCGGCUUCUAAUUUGCGGGUCUCUUGGACGAUGAAGGCCUGCUUUUCUGUGUACUGCCGCCUGGCCUUCUGCUUCACAGGGCGCACAUUGGGGCAUACGUUGAGGUGAUGCUCGAUUACACCCCUAGGGAUCCCUGCCAACUAGUCAGGCUCCCAAGUGAAUACCUUCUUGUUUGCGCGCAGGAACCCAACCAGGGCCUUCUCCUGCUCAGGUUUGAGGUGGGCGCCUAUGGUGAAGGUGGCGUUGGUGGACCCGUCCUCAUCGACGGGUAUCUGCUUGGUUUCUUCCUUGUCUUGGGUGAACAACUGUUUCUUCUUGGCGGGUGCAGCCCCCUUGGGCCCGGGGGUCUCCAAGUCGGCGGGUUGUGCCGACGCCGCCGUCUUGAAGGCGAGCUUGAGCGCCCGCAGCGCGUCUCCGGUGUUGCCGUGCACAGUGAGGACACCGCUGCUCCCGGGCAUCUUCAUGAGGUUGUACGUCGGGUGCGUCGCGGCCAUGAACUGGGCCAGCACUGGGUAGCCGAGGAUGGCGUUGUAGGGGAGGCCGAUGGGGGCGAUGUCGAAGUCGACCAGCUCCGUGCGGAAGUUGUCGUAGGUGCCAAAGGUUACUGGGAGUCGGAUCUGUCCCAAGGAGCUGGACGACUCGCCCCCAACGCCUGAGAAGGGCCAGCUGGGUUGCAGUCGUUCCAGGGGUAUGCAGAGGAGGUUGAAGGCCUCGACCGAGAGCAUGCUGAGGCCCGCGCCGCCAUCAAUGAGGGUCCUGGUGACGGCCACCUGGCAGAUGGUGGGGGUGCACAGCAUGGGGAGCGCACCCGAGCAGGCCGAGUUGGAGGGGUGGUCCUCCGAGCUGAAGGUCAGGCCGGUCUCGGGUGCCGCCCGGUCCAGGGGAGCCCCCUGCCGCGUGGAAGAGGCGCUGACCCGGCGGAUGAACGGCUUGACGUGGUGACUUGUAGGCGGCGCCUGCGAGCCGCCCAAGAGGGUCGCGACGACCGGGGGUGUUGGUGCAGCGCGAUGGGCAGGGGAGAGGUUGCGAGGCUCCAUGGGCGCGCGGAGCGCGCGGGACGAAGAACCAGCUGGGGUGAGCGAGGGAGUUGCGGUGCGGCCGCCUUGUUGCACGAACAGAUGCUGGGACGAUGCUUGCCGCUCGUCCCUCGCCGGGCUGGUGGCAGCGUUGACGGCAGGUGACGGGGAACGGUGAGGACGCCCGCCGACAGGGGCCGUCUGGGCGACGCGGGAAACGAGCGUGGCCCGACGCUCGGCGCGGGCCCGACGAGCGUCAGACAUGGGCGUGAUGGUCGGAGGAGAACGGGGUGGUGGAAGACGAAUCCCGGUGCGCCAAAUGUCGGAUUUCGGGUUCCGGCAGACCCUUGAGGUUCAAACACUGGGGUGCGCGCGGAGCUUUCUUCUCCUACCUACCUGCACCCCUCCGCCUUGCUAGGAUCUAAACUAAGGAAAGAACAACACAAGAGACACAGGGUUUAUACUAGUUCGGGCCACCGUUGUGGUGUAAUACCCUACUCCAGUGUGUGGUGUGGUGGAUUGCCUCUUGGGCUGAUGAUGAUGAACAAUACAAGGAAGAACAGCCUCGCAAGGGUCUGUUCUUGGCUGGGCGAUGAACUGCUGGGAGGAGCUCAGUCACCUUUCUCUCUCUCUCUCUCUCUCUCUCUCUCUCUCUCUCUUUCUCUCUCUCUCUCUCUCUCUCUCCGUCUGUCCUCCCCCUGUCUAGCGGGUGGCUGGUCCUAUUUAUAGGGGCCCUGGUCCUCUUCCCAAGUAUCAAGCGGGAAGGGAGCCAACAAUGGCGGGCUAAUUUGAAAGGGGACAACUAGUACUAGCUAUCCUGACAAAAGUAGUCUUCGCCUGCGCAAAGCUCUGGUGAUGACGCCAUCUUGGGCUCCACUGUGACCUCCAUCUCGUAGUCCUCCUGGUCUUGGUCUCGUCGCACCGAAAUGGCAACCUUUGCCUGAUGCCUCGGUACUCCGCGGCUGCGCUUGCCCCCCUUGCACCAAAGAGGGAAGGAGGACACUGCGCGGGCUGGCACCCACCUGGCGCCCUCGGUCGUCAUGGCUUGCGUCACGGGCACCUUGUGAGGUACCCCACCUUGAUCUCUCCGCCUCCUCGUGAGCCAGCCUGACGAGGCCGUGCCUGAGGAGGCUUCGUGCCGUUCGCCCCGCGAGGCUUGGCCCCUCGCGAGGGUCUUGGGUUUGUGUUGGUGAAGAUGGGCCGUGCUGGGCCUCCCUUCGAGCCACGCUGCAGGCCGCAGGCAAGCAAGUCUGGGGACCCCCGUUCCUAGAACGCCGACAGAAAGGACCGCUAGGAUGCGUGCUAAGAAAGAUUGCUUUGUGAAAGCGUGUUCUUCUAGUUUUCAUGGCAAUAAAGAUGAAGAUCUAAAAGUAAUUGAUGUGUCCCCUAUUAAAUCCUUAUUUUGCAAUAUGAAUCUUGAUAAUGAUGGGACUGGAUAUGAAUCAACUUUAGUUAGAAGGCGUCCCAAAAAUUCGGAGUUUAUAGAUCUUGAUGCAAAAAUUGGUAAACAUGGGAUUGAAGAGGUCAAAACUUUAGAUAGCAAUGAACCCACUAUCUUGGAUUUCAAGGAAUUUAAUUAUGAUAAUUGCUCUUUUAUAGAUUGUAUUUCCUUGUUGCAAUAUGUGCUAAAUUCUCCUCAUGCUUAUAGUCAAAAUAAAGCUUUUACUAAACAUAUCGUUGAUGUUUUGAUGCAAUCUUAUGAAGAAAAACUUGAGUUGGAAGUUUCUAUCCCUAGAAAACUUUAUGAUGAGUGGGAACCUACAAUUAAAAUUAAAAUUAAAGAUCAUGAAUGCUAUGGUUUGUGUGAUUUGGGUGCUAGUGUUUCCAUGAUUCCGAAAACUUUGUGUGAUUUGCAAGGUUUCCGUGAAUUUGAUGAUUGUUCUCUAAACUUGCACCUUGUGGAUUCCACUAUUAAGAAACCUAUGGGAAAGACUAAUGAUAUUAUUAUUGUUGCAAAUAGGAAUUAUGUGCCCGUAGAUUUCAUUGUUCUUGAUAUAGAUUGCAAUCCUUCAUGUCCUAUUAUUCUUGGUAGACCUUUCCUUACAACGAUUGGUGCAAUUAUUGAUACAAAGGAAGGGAAUAUUAAAUUCCAAUUUCCAUUAAGGAAAGGCAUGGAACACUUCCCUAGAAAGAAAGUUAAAUUACCAUAUGAAUCUAUUAUGAGAGCCACUUAUGGAUUGCCUACCAAAGAUGGCAAUACUUAGAUCUAUCCUUGCUUUUAUGCCUAACUAAGGGCGUUAAACGAUAGUGCUUGUUGGGAGGCAACCCAAUUUUAUUUUUAUUCCUUGCUUUUUGCUCCUGUUUAGUAAUAAAUAAUUUAUCUAGCCUCUCUUUUGGUUGUUUUUUGUGUUUAAUUAGUGUUUAUGCCAAGUAGAACCGUGGGGAAGACUUGGGGAAAGUCUUUUUGAUCUUGCUAUAAAAACAGAAACUUUAGCGCUCACGAGAAUUGCUGCCAUUUUUUAUUGGAGAGUGCUAUUUAGUUAAUUAAUUUUUAAGAUGAUUAAUAGAUAAAUUAAACACGUCCAACAAUUUAUUUUAUAAUUUUUGGGGUUCUAGAAGUGGUCGAAACCUACAGAUUACUACGGACGGUUCUGUUAUUGACAGAUUCUAUUUUUUGUGUGUUGUUUGCUUAUUUUGAUGAAUCUAUGGCUAGUAAAAGAGUUUAUAAACGAUAGAGAAGUUGGAAUACAUUAGGUUUAACACCAAUCUAAAUUAAUAAUGAGUUCAUUACAGUACCUUGAAGUGGUGGUUUGUUUUCUUUUACUAACGGAGCUCACGAAAAUUUUCUUUUAAGUUUUGUGUUGUGAAGUUUUCAAGUUUUGGGUAAGGAUUUGAUGGAUUAUGGAACAAGGAGUGGCAAGAUCCUAAGAUUGGGGAUACCCAAGGAACCCCAAGGUAAAAUCCAAGGACACCAAAAAUCCUAAGCUUGGGGAUUCCUCGGAAGGCAUCCCCUCUUUCGUCUUCGUCUAUCGGUAACUUUACUUGGAGCUAUAUUUUUAUUCGCCACAUGAUAUGUGUUUUGCUUGGAGCGUCUUGUAUGAUUUGAGUCUUUUGUUUUUAGUUUACCACAAUCAUCCUUGCUGUACACACCUUUUGGGAGAUACACACAUGAGUUUGAAUUUAUUAGAAUACUCUAUGUGCUUCACUUAUAUCUUUUGAGCUAUAUAGUUUUUGCUCUAGUGCUUCGCUUAUAUCUUUUAGAGCACGGCGGUGGUUUUAUUUUAUAGAAAUAAUUGAUCUCUCAUGCUUCACUUAUAUCAUUUUGACAGUCCUUUAUAACAUCAUGGUAAUUCACUUUGGCUAUAAAUUUUAAAUGCUAAGAGAAGUUGGAUGCUAUAUAGAUGGUUUUGAGAUAUAAAGGUGGUAAUAUUAGAAGUGUGCUAGUUGAGUAAAUGUGAAAUUGAUGAAUACUUGUGUUGAAGUUGGGAAGUACCAUAGCAUGCACGUAUGGUGAAUGUUAUGUGACAAAUUUGAAGCAUGGGGUGUUCUUUGAUUGCUUUCCUUAUGGGUGGCGGUCGGGGAUGAGCGAUGGUCUUUUCCAACCAAUAUAUCCCCCUAGGAGCAUGCGUGUAGUGCUUGGUUUGAUGACUUGUAGAUUUUUGCAACAAGUAUGUGAGUUCUUUAUGACUAAUGUUGAGUCCAUGGAUUAUAAGCACUCUCACCCUUCCAUCAUUGCUAGCCUCUUCGGUACCGUGCAUUGCCCUUUCUCACCUUGAGAGUUGGUGCAAACUUCGCCGGUGCAUCCAAACCCAGUGAUAUGAUACGCUCUAUCACACAUAAGCCUCCUUAUAUCUUCCUCAAAACAGCCACCAUACCUACCUAUUAUGGCAUAUCCAUAGCCAUUCCGAGAUAUAUUGCCAUGCAACUUUCCAUCGUUCCAUUUAUUAUGACACGUAUCAUCAUUGUCAUAUUGCUUUGCAUGAUCAUGUAGUUGACAUUGUAUUUGUGGCAAAGCCACCGUUCAUAAUUUUUUCAUACAUGUCAUUGUUGAUUCAUCGCAAUCCCGGUACACCGUCGGAGGCAUUCACAUAGAGUCAUAUUUUGUUCUAAGUAUCGAGUUGUAAGAAAAUAAAAGUGUGAUGAUCAUUAUUAGAGAAUUGUCCCAUGUGAGGAAAGGAUGAUGGAGACUAUGAUUCCCCCACAAGUCGGGAUGAGACUCCGGACGAAAAAAAGAUAAAUAAAAGAGGCCAAAAAAAAGAAAGAAGGCCCAAAUAAAUAAAUAAAUAAAUGAGAGAAAAAGAGAUAAGGGACAAUGUUACUAUCCUUUUUCCACACUUGUGCUUCAAAGUAGCACCAUGAUCUUCAUGAUAGAGAGUCUCUUAUUUUGUCACUUUCAUAUACUAGUGGGAAUUUUUCAUUAUAGAACUUGGAUUGUAUAUUCCAAUGACGGGCUUCCUAAAAUGCCCUAGGUCUUCGUGAGCAAGCGAGUUGGAUGCACACCCACUUAGUUUCUUUGAUGAGCUUUCAUAUAUUUAUAGCUCUAGUGCAUCCGUUGCAUGGCAAUCCCUACUCCUUGCAUUGACAUCAAUCGGUGGGCAUCUCCAUAUCCCAUUGAUUAUCCGCGUCAAUGUGAGACUUUCUCCCCUUUUGUCUUCUCACACAACCUCAAUCAUCAUAUUCUAUUCCACCCAUAGUGCUAUGUCCAUGGCUCGCGCUCAUAUAUUGCGUGAAAGUUGAAAGAGUUUGAAAAGGCUAAGUAUGAAACAAUUGCUUGGCUUGUCUUCGGAGUUGUGCAUGAUGAGAGCAUUUUGUGUGACGAAAAUGAAGCACGGCCAAACUAUAUGACUUUGUAGGGAUAAGUUUUCUCUGGCUAUGGUAUUUUGAUAAGACAUAAUUGCUUGAUUAGCAUACUUGGAGUAUUACUAUUUUUAUGUCAACAAUAAACUUUUAUAUCGAAUCUUUCGGAUCUGAACAUUCAUGCCACAAUAGAGAAAAAUACAUUGAAGAAUAUUCUAGGAAGCAUUCCACAUCAAAAAUUCUAUUUUUAUCAUUUACCUACUCGAGGACGAGCAGGAAUUAAGCUUGGGGAUGCUGAUACGUCUCGAACAUAUCUAUAAUUUUUUUAUUGUCCCAUGCUAUUAUAUUAUCUGUUUUGGAUGUUAAUGGGCUUUAUUUUACACUUUUAUAUUAUUUUUGGGACUAACCUAUUAACUGGAGGCCCAACCCAAAUUUCUGUUUUUUUGCCUAUUUCAGUGUUUCGUACAAAAGGAAUAUCAAACGGAGUCCAAAUGGAAUGAAACCUUCGGGAACGUGAUUUUUGGAACAAAUGUGAUCCAGAGGACUUGGAGUGGACAUCAAGAAAUCAACAAGGCGGCCACGAGGCAGGGGGCGCGCCUACCCCCUGGGUGGGCCCUCCCCCCUCAUGGGCCCCUCGUUGCUCCACCGACCUACUUCUUCCUACUAUAUAUGUUCACAUACCCUACAAACAUCCAGGAGCACCACAAAAACCUAAUUCCACCGCCGCAACCUUCUGUAACCAAGAGAUCCCAUCUUGGGGCCUUUUCCGGAUCUCCGCCGGAGGGGGCAUUGAUCACGGAGGGCCUCUACAUCAACUCCAUGGCCCCUCCGGUGUUGUGUGAGUAGUUUACUUCAGACCUUCGGGUCCAUAGUUAUUAGCUAGAUGGCUUCUUCUGUCUCUUUGGAUCUCACUACAAAGUUCUCCUCGAUCUUCUUGGAGAUCUAUUCGAUGUAACUCUUUUUGUGGUGUGUUUGUCGAGAUCCGAUGAAUUGUGGGUUUAUGAUCAAGUCUAUCUAUGAACAAUAUUUGAAUCUUCUCUGAAUUCUUUUAUGUAUGAUUGGUUUAUCUUUGCAAGUCUCUUUGAAUUAUCAGUUUGGUUUGGCCUACUAGAUUGAUCUUUCUUGCAAUGGGAGAAGUGCUUAGCUUUUGAUUCACUAUUGCGAUGCUCGAUCCCAGUGAUAGAAAGGGAAACGACACGUAUUGUAUUGUUGCGAUCGAGGAUAAAAAGAUGUGGUUUACGUCAUAUUGCAUGAGUUUAUCCCUCUACAUCAUGUCAUCUUGCUUAAGGCGUUACUCUGUUCUUAUGAACUUAAUACUCUAGAUGCAUGCUGGAUAGCGGUUGAUGUGUGGAGUAAUAGUAGUAGAUGCAGAAUCGUUUCGGUCUACUUGUCUCGGACGUGAUGCCUAUAUACAUGAUCAUGCCUAGAUAUUCUCAUAAUUAUUCGCUUUUCUAUCAAUUGUCCGACAGUAAUUUUUUCACCCACCGUAAUACUUAUGCUAUCUUGAGAGAAGCCACUAGUGAAACCUAUGGCCCCCGGGUCUAUUUUCCAUCAUACAAGUUUCCAAUCUAUUUUAUUUUGCAAUCUUUUACUUCCAAUCUAUAUCAUAAAAAUACCAAUAAUACUUAUCGUAUUAUUACCAUCUCUAUCAGAUAUCACUCUUGCAAGUGGCCGUGAAGGGGUUGACAACCCCUUUAUCACGUUGGUUGCGAGGUUCUUAUUUGUUUGUGUAGGUACGAGGUGACUCACGUGUGGUCUCCUACUGGAUUGAUAGCUUGGUUCUCAAAAACUGAGGGAAAUACCUACGUUGCUUUACUGCACCACCCUGUCCUCUUCAAGGGAAAACCAACGCAGUGCUCAAGAGGUAGCAACUUGCGCAAUUCAUCUACUAUGCCAUGCCAUGAUCACAUUGUUGUGCAUAUGCUUUGUUUUGGAUGUUGUCAAUAUUCUCCAUGUGAUGUUUCCACUAAUUCUCAUGAGGAGACCUCCAUAGUUUCCUCAUACAUAUUAGGAGAUUUUGAUGCAUUCCAUUCUUUGCAUGAUUCCUAUAAUCGCGUGCACCAUAUGCAUUCCAUGAAUAACAAUGCUAUACAUAUUUCUCAUGAUGCAUGACACAAUUUGAGUCUCCAUUAUGCUAUACAUAACAAAAAAACCUCAUGAUGGAUGACAUGUUUCUAUCUCACGCAUCUCAUUUAUUUGAGCAUUGGAUAUUUUGUGCUAACCAACACAUGCAUGUACGCAUCAUAAUGGAUGAUGUAUACAUAUACCAUGAACACACUAUUUCUCCUUUGCCUUUUUUGUGUAGGUACUCACAUAUACUCGUCAACCUCUCAAUCCCAAGAGUUGACGAAACCGGCUCUUGAGAGCAACGACGACUUGGGAUCACAUGGAUUAUCCUUACCACUUGUAACACCCACGAUGCGGCUAUAUCUCCCACGUGUCGGAGCACGACUUAGAGGCAUAAUCGCUUGGUAGGCAUGUCGCAAGAGGGGUAAUCUUUACACAUCCCAUGUAUUGAAUAAGAAAGGGAUAAAGAGUUGGCUUACAAUCGCCACUUCACACAAUACAUAAAUAUAGCAUUACAUCAUCCAGAAUACAAUCAAGGUCCGACUACAGAACCAACAUAAAAGAAGACCACCCCUAAUGCUAGAUCCCCGAUCGCCCCGACUGGGCUCCACUACUGAUCAACUGGAAAUGAAACAAGACUACGAUCAAGAUCCUCAUCGGGCUCCCACUUGAGCUCAGUUGCGUCACCUGCACUGGUAUCAUCGGCACCUGAAACUGUUUGGAAGUAUCUGUGAGCCACGAGGACUCAGCAAUCUCACACCCUCGCGAUCAAGACUAUUUAAGCUUAUGGGUAGGAAAAUGUAGUAAGGUGGAUCUGCAGCAAGCACUAGCAUAUAUGGUGGCUAACUUACGCAAAAGAGCGAGAAGAGAAGCAAAGCACGGUCGAGAAGCUAUAAAGAUCAAGAAGUGAUCCUGAAACUACUUACGUUCAAACAUAACACCAAAACCGUGUUCACUUCCCGGACUCCACCGGAAAGAGACCAUCAUGGCUACACACGCGGUUGAUUCAUUUUAAAUUAAGUUAAGUGUCAAAUUUUCUACAACCGGAUAUUAACAAAUUCUCAUCUACCCAUAAUCGCGGGCACGGCUUUCGAAAGUUCAAAACCCGGCAGGGGUGUCCCAACUUAGCCCAUCACAAGCUCUCACGGUCAACGAAGGAUAUUCCUUCUCACAGGAAGACCCGAUCAGUCUCGAAAUCCCGGUUACAAGACAUUUCGACAAUGGUAGAACAAGACCAGCAAAGCCACCUGAUGUGCCAACAAAUCCCGAUAGGAGUCGCACGUAUCUCGUUCUCAGGGAACACCGGAUGGGCAAGACGUCGGGUUGGCAUAGACCCUGGUUGCCCAGGGGGCGCCGGACAUCGCCCAGUUUGGACCAACACUCGGAGGAGCACUGGCCCGGGGGUUUAAAAUAAAGAUGACCCUUGAGUCUGCAGAACCCAAGGGAAAAAGGCUUAGGUGGCAAAUGUUAAAACCAAGGUUGGGCCUUGCUGGAGGAGUUUUAUUCAAAGCAAACUGUCAAGGGGUUCCCGUAACACCCAACCGCGUAAGGAAUGCAAAAUCAAGGAACAUAACACCGGUAUGACGGAAACUAGGGCGACAAGAGUGGAACAAAACACCAGGUAUAAGGUCUAGCCUUUAACCCUUUACCAAGUAUAUAGAUGCAUUAAUUAAAUAAGUGAUAUUGUGAUAUCCCAACAUAUCCUUGUUCCAAACAUGGAACAAACUCCAUCUUCACCUGCAACUAGCAACGCUAUAAGAGGGGCUGAGCAAAGCGGUAACAUAGCCAAACAACGGUUUGCUAGGAAAGGUGGGUUAGAGGCUUGACAUGGAAAUAUGGGAGGCAUGAUAUAGCAAGUGGUAGGUAUCGCAGCAUAGCAAAAGAGAGAACAAGUAUCAAGCAAAGAUAGAAUUGAUUUCGAGGGUAUGGUCAUCUUGCCUGCAAAGUUCUCCGAGUUGACGAAAGCUUGAUCUUCCUUAGCGUACUCAACAGGUUCCUCGAUCACGCACUUGUCUCCCGUCUCUACCCAAGGCAAGAACACAAGCAAAGGAAACUACAAUCAACCACGGUGCAAUGCACAAGCAACAUGAUGCAAAACAUGGGAUGAUAUGCGGGAUGUGAUAUGCAAUGCAUAUGCGUGCUUCGGAAGGGAAAGAAUGAACCAGGAAUCAACUUGGCAAACCAAGUGUGCCGCUGGAAAGAUGAGUUGAUUUCGGUCAAAAUCGAUAUAAAGAUCACCGGAAUCGGAUGCACGGUUUGCAAAUGGCAAGCUAAACAAGAAUGGCACAAUUCUGCGAUUAACAGCAUGAUGCCAUCUAGAAUGCACCAAGAAACUAAGCUACUGCACUCCAACAUAGCAACAAAGCACAUGGCAGUGAUCCACUCAAGAUGCUUGACAAAAGAUGAACACUGAGCUACAGCUAAAUCACACAAGAGUAGGUUCAAACAAGCAUGGCAAAAGUGCAAAAGAUAUCAACAUCACAGACUUUGUGAAAAUACUAACAUGUCAGGAAUUAACAUCAGGAAGCAAUGUUUAGAGCAAGAUAACAACAUGCUACAGGAACAUAUCAUAGCAAUACAAGGCAUGGCAUGAAUCUACUCAAAGCAUAGAACAAAAGUCCCUUACUGACCAUGAGCCAAAAAGGAUCAGAAGAUAAGAUGGCACCCAUGUAAACAUAACAAGUUUCAUUAACAGAUUCAGACUUAGCAGAAAACUGAGCAUGGCAUAAACAGAAUUAUGAAGGCAUCUUUGCGAGCUCGAUUCACUCAACACAAGGCAUUGCAUGACAAGGUAAGCAUAGCAUAAGUAAGAAGACAUGUUCAAGAAGUUAACCCAGGCAAGAGCAAGUUUAUAGCAUGCUUGGAUCAACUAUGACAACCGUGGCAAAAUUGAUUAACAUGUAAACAAUCUGCCAGGAACAUUUUAUAGCAAGAGUAGAGCAAGAUUAAGUCAUGCUAGGUAACUCCAUAAUUGCAAAUAGGGGCAUUGAUUGAUAGAGAACAAAAAUAUGUCCAAAUCAUCCUUACUAAAGCAACUCAAAUAAAGCAUGGAUCUCACUGUAGCAACGUGAAUACAUGGCAUAAAAAUAACAGCAGAGCAAUGACUUAGUGAAAUUCUAAGUCCCUGAAAACAGUAAUAUCAUGAGAGCUACUUUGCAUGCUUGUGCUAGUCACCACAUCGAUCACAAAAAUACAUGGCAUACACCCCUGUAAAGAUGGCAUGGCAUAGAUCAAAACACAUGUAGAGGACAUGACCAUAUGCAGCACACAACAAAUGUAAAAAAUGACAAAUGCUCAUACUCUGCUAAGAAUCAGCACCUAACAUUUUAUAGCACUCUUGCAACAACGAUUUGGCAUCAAUAUUGACUCAAACAAGCAUGUCACAAUGUAACAAAAUGAAGAGCACAUCCUGAUGAACAUUUUGAUAUAUAGCACGCAAAAAAUGGAGCAGUAUGCAACAAGUUAUGGCAUGAUGAACAGGGCUUCAGAAUGCAAACAUAAAAUGACUUAGUGAUGAAACGAGGUCAACUGUGGAUCUAGGGUUUGACACAGGGGGGCAAGCGUAUUGAGGUGGCACCAGAGUGUUCACCGGAGAAGCCACGGUGGCUAGAGAAGGCGGCGUCCGGGCCGGAUCUCGCCGGAUCCUGCCGGAUCUGCCGUGGGGCGAAGAUUGCCGGAGAGGGGGGUGGCUCCCGCGGCGGCGGUGGUGGACGAAGGCGGCGGCACGGGGCUCGGCGUGGUGCGGCUGCGAUCGGCGAGGCGGCGGCCGGCGAGACGNNNNNNNNNNNNNNNNNNNNNNNNNNNNNNNNNNNNNNNNNNNNNNNNNNNNNNNNNNNNNNNNNNNNNNNNNNNNNNNNNNNNNNNNNNNNNNNNNNNNNNNNNNNNNNNNNNNNNNNNNNNNNNNNNNNNNNNNNNNNNNNNNNNNNNNNNNNNNNNNNNNNNNNNNNNNNNNNNNNNNNNNNNNNNNNNNNNNNNNNNNNNNNNNNNNNNNNNNNNNNNNNNNNNNNNNNNNNNNNNNNNNNNNNNNNNNGCGGGCUCGCGGGCCGGGAGGGCCCCACGCAGGCCUGGCGGGCCGGCGGCGGCGGGCAGCAGUGUUGCCACGUGGCCGCACGCCAUUGGUGCGGGCGCGGCGGCGAUUCGUCCUGUGGCGGCGGACGUGUCCGGUGGGCGAGAGGAAGGGGGAGCUAGGGUUUGACUGCGCGAAUUUUGAGAGGGGAUCACAUAUUUAUAGCUAGGAGGAGGUAGGAGUGUCCAAAUGAGGUGUAGUAUUCGGCCACGCGAUCGUGAUCGAAUGGCCGAGAGGAUGGAGGGGGUUUGGAUGGGUUAUUGGUCCACUUUAGAGGGGUAUUGGGCUGCAACACACGCGAGGCCUUUACGGUUCCCCGGUUAACCGUUGGAGUAUCAAAUGACUCCAAAUGGCACGAAACAUGACAGGCGGUCUACCGGUGGUGUACCAAGGCCGCUUGACUAAUCUCGGUCCAUUCCGAGAAAGUUUAACACCCGCUCACGAAAAGAGACAAAAGAGGGCACCGGAGGACGUAGGAGUGCCGGAUUGCAAAACGGACAACGGGGAAAAUGCUCGGAUGCAUGAGACGAACAUGUAUGCAAAUGAGAUGCACAUGAUGACAUGAUAUGAAAUGCAUGACAUGAACAAAAUGCAAAAUGAAGACAAAACCCAGCCAUGAAGGAAUCUCAUAACUUAGACCGAAAAUGGCAAGAGUCGGAGUACAAAUAUGGAAAGUUGUAUCCGGGGCGUUACACCACCGUUCCCUUUUCGCAAGGAUUAUGCGCACCUCUUCUACUUGGCUCCCAGACAUCUUUGGGAUAUUUACCACUUGUCACCUUAUGCCCAUUUUACCAUGUUCACUUUGCAUGUUAUGCUUGCUUCUAUGUGUUUGCCAUGCAAUUGUGACCCUUUCUUGCAUUUACCCAUGUAUUGGGUUGAUAGCAUAUAUGUUCAUGCCUCUCACUUGAUUUGUCUUAAUCAUUGUCUCUUGUAUCCAUUAGUUGCAUCUCGAAUAUCCCCUUGUAUUGAGUGCCAACUUGCUAUGCAUAUUCAUCAUGGAGACUUGGACAUCUUACUUGUGAUGCAUGCUUGCUUAUUUGAGCUUAAUAUCUAUGGUUGUGCUAGCAUCUUAUGCCUACAUACCAUGCCCUAUACCCUUGUCCUUUCUUAUGAUAUGAAUGAUGAUGACACUUGUUGGGUAUUUCACCACACGAAUUAUAGGUUCUGCAUUUCCGCUAACCUCAUUUGUUUUUCCGAGUGUUUGUCAUUCUCUUUCACUUUGGAGGAUUCACAAGGUGGUACCAUCAUGAGUCAACUUGGUCAUAUGUGAAGGCGUACACGAUGUGCGACCCCAUCAUUUUCAUGACACUACUUAAGGUGAACUCCUUCCCUUUGAGCCAUCCUCACAUAUGCAUAUUGGAUGGGUCAUUCUUUCAUUGUUGCCUCCUUCUUCUUGUCUACAUGCUACAUAUAUUGGAUGGAGGACUGACAUUGGAGAUGGACCCUAUGGGCCUUCACGUUGAGAAGUGCUCGCACUUAGAGGAUGCACCUACUUUGGAAGCACCACUGGACCACCACUUAUGCCACGACAUCGAGACAUGGUACAACAAUCCCCAUAACAAAUUUGCAUCUUAUGCAUGGAUUGACUCACAUUAUGACUGCCUUGUUGCAUCUUGUAUGACCAUGUCAUCCAUGAUAUAUGAACUUUUGCACUUUCUUAGCAAAUUUGUUGUGAUCUUCCUUGAUGGCAUACUCAUACAUCAUGAUCAUAUUGCCCACCAUCAAUUGCAUGAUAACAUAAUAAUAUUGAGCAUCCAUUGCCACGUUCAUGAUCUUGAUAAACCAUCAUACUAUGAAAUCAUUUUGCACAAUGGUAGAAUUCACAUUGUGCAUCGUGACAAUUACCACACCUUUGUGCACGCAUCAAAUGAAUUUACUCCCAUGAAUGCUUUGCAUAUCAUUCUAUAUCUUUUAGCUAAGCAUCAUAUGCCUUGUCACGAACAAUCUUAUUGGACGAACUCAUGCUUAUUUGAUGGACACCUUGUGCACGCUAACCAUUGUAUUUUCGAGUGUCGUUUUUGUUUGCUCUUUUUGCAUGUAUACCACUCCGGCGACACCUUGGAGUACUUGGAUUGUGCCAUGUCUUCAACUCUGUCCAACUACAAGUUCAUCCAUGACAACCGUUUCCAUGGUGAUGAGGUUUACGAUCCAAGGUCAGAUUUUUCCCAAGGGGGGGAGAUGAUGCGGAGCAUCCUACGACCAUCCCCAUGUACACUACGACCACUCCCUAAGCCCCAAUUGGACAUACGAUGAGACCUCAAGCAUAUGCCAUUGGACACAUGGUGAAGCUGCUCCUAAGUGCCUCCCGUUUCCAUUCGUGCGAGACAAGGUUGCUACCUCAUGCAAAGACACUACAUGUGUUCAAGAACCCAGGAGACGACCAUGGAGAUGCUCGAAGCAUAGGACAAGUCCCCAAGUACAGGGGUGAAGAGGAUCGGCGAAAGAAGCCAGAGACAACUUCCAGGACCCAGACAUCUGGCCACAACCUCGGACAUCCGGCCCCUGAAUGUGACGAUAGUAAUAGCCCUGCAGCCGACAUACUACAGUGCUCGGACAUCCGGCCAGGCCCCGUACAUCCGGCCCGACAACCCGGACAUCCAGCGCUUGCCCAGAAAUCCAGCCCUCCAUCACAGAACGCCACCGAAACAGACAAGUCCAGCCUAGACAUCCAGCCAGAGGCCCGGACAUCGGGCUCCUCGUGAGCCGCCGGACAUCCGGCCCCCAGCCUGGACAUUCGGCGCCUGUCUGCGCACAGUGAACGGGCCAAAGGCCCAUGUAUCCUCUCCCACUUACCCCUUUGUGGCUAAGGACUAUAUAUACUCCUUCCCCUUCCUCUAGUUAGUGUUAGCAAAGGAUUAGCUCAUUUGAGAGAUAGAGCUUUGCUCAUCCACUUGAUACCUUCUCCAUUGGAGACCAUGACCUCUAGGGAGAAGAUCCCCAAAGUGGAUACAAGACCCCUCGCGGGAAGACCCUCAAGACCUCCUCACGGAGAAGAACUACCGCCUCUUGUAUCGUCCUUUGUUGCAUUUGGAUCUUGUAUCACUCUUUAUGUUCAUGGAUCUAGCACAUGUGUGAUUGUUCUCAUUGAUUUGAGUGUCUUUUUCUCGUGUUCUCCCCUAGUGUUCUUCAUAGGAUCCUCUCCAUUUCAUGAAAGAUCGGCCCUAGGGUUUCCACCCUACAUCACUUAUCCAAGCCAAAUCAUGGUGAAGUGUCAUGUAGUCGACGCUCACAUAACACCACUAUAGGAAAGACAACAUACAUCUCAUCAAAAUAUCAAACAAAUACCAAAUUGACAUGAUUACUUAUAACAAGACUUCUUGCAUGUCCCUAGGAACAAACAUAACUACUCUCAAAGCAUGUUCAUGUUCAAGAUCAGAGGGGUAAUGAAUAUCAUUAAGAAUUUGAACAUAUGAUCUUCCACCAAAUAAACCAACUAGCAUCAACUACAAAGACUAAUCAACACUACUAGCAACCCACAAGUACCAAUCUGAGGUUUUGAGACCAAGAUUGAAUACAAGAGAUGAACUAGUGAUGUAGGGUGGAACCCUAGUGGCCCAUCUUUCACGAUUUGGAGAGGAUCCCACGAAGAACACAAAGAACACGAGGGGAAACGCGAGUAAAUCAUGAGGGGGAAUGAGAGGAAACACUCAAAUCAACAAGCAACGAUCACACAUGUUCUAGAUUCUCGAAACACAAAGAGAUACAUGAUCCAAGGUCAACAAAGGAUGAUACCAACGGUAACUAGUUCAUCUCCGUGAGGAGGUCUUAAGGGGUCAUCACAUGAAGGGGUCUAGAAUCCCAGGUGGAUCUUCUCCAUAGAGGCGCAGUCUCUCUCGAUGGAGUAGAUCUGUAUGGAUGAGCAAAGCUCUAUCUCAAAUGAGCUAAACUUAUGCUAACUCUAACUAGGAGGAGGGGGUGUCCUAUUUAUAGUCAUAGUGCAAACGGGGGCGAAGUGAAGGGGUACAUGGGCCUCAGGCCCAAAACUAUGCGCAGACAGGUACCAGACGUCCAGUGGGUUCCGGUCGUCCGGUGGCUCGUGGGCGUCCGGACAUCCAGAAGUCAUCGGACUUCCGUCAUUUCAGCUUGGUUAAGGUGGCACCGGAUUUCCAGAGAAGCUCGGUCGCCCGGUACUUGUCAGAUGUUUGGUGGCUGUAGCGUUUGCUGGCCUGGCUUCUUCUAGCUGGCGUGGCCUUCAGGGACCGGACGUCCUGUCUAGAGCGGUCAUCCGAUGGCUGUAGCUCGUCUUGCAGCUCUUCCUCUUGUUCCUCGCGCUUGGUGUCCUGACUGUCUUUUCCAAUGCUCCUAGAUGUUCCAUGGCAUUCCUAUUGGUUCCUGGUCAUGCAUAGCACAUAUGUUUGAGGUAGUAGCCAUGUCUCACUUGUGGAAAGUGAAGGUUUGGAGAGGAGCGAGUUCACCUUGUGUCCAAUGGCAUAUAGUAGGGGUCUCAUCUUAUGUAUCCUUGGGUCCUGGGGAGUGGUCGAAGUGAACAUGGGGAUGAUCGUAUGAAGCUCCGUAUCAUCUCCCCCCUUGGUAAAGAUCCAACCUCGGAUCGUGAUCCUCAUCACCAUGGAUACGGUUGUUGUGGAUGAACUUGUAGUUGGACGUAGAUGAAGGUGUUGUGCAAUCCAAGUACUCCAAGGUGUCUCUGGAGGGAUAGACAUGCAAAAAGAACAAACGCAAACGACACUCAGAAAUACAAUGGUUAGCGCACAAAAAGUGUCCAUCAAGUAAGUAUGAGUCUGUUCGGCAAGAUUGUUCCUGACAAAGCGCAUGAAGCUUAUCAAGAUGAUAUAGAAUGAUAUGCAAAGCAUUCAUGAGAUGAAAUUCAUUUGUAGUAUGCACAAAGGUGUUGGGAAUGUGAUUAAUGCGACCAUUGUGCAAAAUGAUGUCAUAAUGUGACGGUGUAUCAAAACCAUGAACAUGGUAAUUGGUGCUCAAUGUGAUUAUGUUGUCUUGCAAUUGAUGGUGGGCAAGAUGAUCAUGAUGUAUGAAUAUAACAUCAAGGAAGAUCACAUCAAAUUUUCUAAGGAAGUGCACAAGCUCAUAUAUCAUGGAUGACAUGGGAAUACAAGAUGCAACAAGGCAAUCAUAAUGUGAGUCAAUCCAUGCAUAGGGUGCAAACUUGUGGUGAGUGUAAUAUGUACAUCGAGCAUGACAUGUGUGAGCACAAUCAACAAAUAUGGAAGUGUUGGUGCAAUGUGUCAAAGGAGUGUUGAUGUACCAAUGCUCGAUGUCGUGGAAUGAGUGGAGGUUCAAAGGUGCAUCCAAUAAGUCCGAGUGCUCCUCAAUUUGAAGUUCCAUAGAGCGAAUCUCCAAUAUCGCUCCUCCGUUCAUGAGAUGUAUCAUGUAGACAACAAGAAGGAGACAACAAUGAAAGAGUGACUCAUCCAAUAUGCGUAUUUCAAGAUGGCUCAAAGGGAAGGAGUUCACCUUUAUGAGAAUGUCAAAAAUGUGGUGUCGUGCAUCGUGUACGCCUUCACAUGACGAAGUUGUCUCGUGAUGGUACCACCUUGUGAAUCCUUCAAAAUGAAAGAACAUGGAAAACACUCGGAAAAACAAAUGAGGUUAGCGGAAGUGCAAAACCUAUUAUUCGUGUGGUAAGAUACCCAACAAGUGUAUGCAUCAUGCUCAUCAUAAGAAAGGACAAGGGAGCAUUUCAUAGUAGGGAGGCAUAUGAUGCAAGAACAACCAAAUACAAUAGGCUCAAUCAAACAAGCAUGCAUCACAAGUAAUAUGUCCAAGUCUCCACGAUCAAUAAGCAUAGCAAGUUGGCACUCAAUACAAGGGGAUAUGAGAGAUGCCACUAAUGGAGACAAGAGACAAUGAUCAAGACAAAUAAAGUGAGAGGCAAGAGCAUAUAUGUCAUCAACCCAAGAAAGCGAGUAAGAAUGGAACAUGGGUGAUGCGACAAAGCAAACAAUCAUAGUGAUCAAGUCAAGCAAGCUAGUAGUGUGAAGGUGCAACGUACUAGAAGGAAUCAUUGCAAGCAUGUCAUGUGUGCAAAUGGUGGUCAUGAAUGAUGCACAAGACAUAUCACAAGCAUGAAGGCAAGAUAUGAGCAAAAUAUCAUCAAUGUAUUGGCGAGAGGCCAUAUGUAAAUAGCAAUGGGACAUCAUGACUCUCCCAACAUAACAAGCAUCAAUAGCAUGGGACACAAAGAAAUCAUGGCAAUAGCUACAAGGAUCUCCACCAAGCAUGCAAAUACACAUAGGAGUAUCAUAAUUGUGAAUCAUGGGUAGAUGCAAGCAAGGGUCACAAUUGCAUGGGAAAAUCAUGUAAGGAGGCAUAACAUGCAAAGUGAACAGGAUACACUAGGCAUAAAGUAACAAGUGAUAUAUAGCCCAUAGCCAUGUGAGAGUCAAGUAAAAGAGAUGCGCGUAGUCGUUACACAAAGAGAACGGUGGGAAGGACAAUCCAUGAGAUCCCAAAUCGCCGUUGCUCUUAAGAGCUCGUUUCGUUAACUCCUGGGAUUGAGAGGUUGACGAGUAUAUGUGAGUACCUACAAAAACAAAGACAAAGGGAAAAUUGUGUGUGCGUGGUAUAUGUACACAUCAUCCAUUAUGAUGCGCACGUGCUUGUGUGGGUUAGCACAAAAUAUCCAAUGCUCAAAUAAAUGAGAUGCAUGAUAUAGAAACAUAUCAUCCAUCAUGAUAGGUUUGUUAUUAUGUAGAGCAUAAUGGAGACUCAAAUUCUGUAAUGCAUCAUGAGAAAUAUGUAGAGCAUUGUUAUUCAUGGAAUGCAUAUGGUGCAAGCAAUUGUGGAAAUCAUGCAAAGUAUGGAAUGUAUCAAAAUCUCCUAAUAUGUAUGAGGAAACUAUGGGGGUCUGCUCAUGAGCUUUAAUGGAAACAUCACAUGGAGAAUAUUGACAACAUCCAAAACAAAGCAUAUUUGGAACAAUGUGAUCAUGGCAUGUCAUAGUAGAUGAAUUGCGGAAAUCAUGUAAAGGAAUCUUAGCAAUAUCAUCACAAGGAAAACAAAAGCCAAUGACCAUCAUCUCGUCAUCUAUGCGAUAAGUGCAAAUGGGAUUUAUUUUAAUGGGGCAUGCAUAGUUACUAUGUCGAGAUUGAAAUGAUGGAAUCUGGGAGAUCUCACUCAUAGCAUAUGACAAGUUUAAAGGAUUAUCAAACAUGAUGUGACCAUUAGAAUUUUCACAUGAUAUCCUAUGGAGCAUAGCAUCACAACUAGGAAAAUCAACAUGCUCAUCAUCUUAUACAUCAUUAAUGGGUGUCAUAUCGAAACAUGACAUAGUAUGCGAUGAAUCCAUAAGGUGAUCAUCAUCAUGCAAGCAAUCAUUGGUAAGAUAGUCCACUAGUGGGACAAGAGAAGCACCAUCACCUAUGUUACCUUUAGAGCAUAGCUCAUGUGUUGUAGGUGAGGUUGCAACUUGAUGGUACCAUGUGGGGGUGUAUCUUCUUCCACCAUGGCCAUCGUUGUCUCCAUUGGUGAUAGAGGGGAAGGUGUCCCGAUGUUUCGAUGAGAUAGCUAUAAUUUUCCAUGGGAGUCGACGUAGAUGAUCCAACUACGAACGUGUGAAGACGUCGCGCCUUAGCAAUCUCUAAACCAACUCCGAGAGGUCAUUGACCACACUGGAGCACGAUCAACCUGACCACGAGGGUCUAUUUCCUGCGAGCAAAACAAAGAACAAGCAAGAAACUGAGAUUGCAAUCUGGAUAUUGCGAAUAUAAUAUGAAAGCUUUAUUGAUCAAGGUGGGGUUAUGUGACGUCUUAGUCUCGUCAUUGAACACAAACGAAGUAGGCGAAGUUGCAGCUAUGGCGAACUUUUAAUCUAAACAAAACCCAAAGUCUAAACGAUGCCCUAAGGGCUGUAUAUAUGGAGGAAGAGGGGGAAUUUCGUGGCCCCUGGAGGAGGGGUCCUAAACCAACCCUAACUCUUGUUUCCCCACACAUACAAACUCUAAAAAUAGCCUAUACUUAAGUAUUUCAAAAUUACAUGGGCCUGGCACAAUAAUAAGGUGAUGCAACACGUAGAAUAGCAUCUGGACGAAAUUUAUGAAGUGGCAUCUGAUGAAGCUAUGUACCUAGGAUAGGGGCAUGGACCUGUCCUAAGUACCCUACCCAAGGACAUCCCUAGAAGAAGUCACCUUUCAAUCGACUUGGAGGUAUCCCACUCGACGGAUUCAAGACACUCGACCACGAAGCAAUCACUCGACCAAGAUCCAACCACUCGACUGCUAGGAGAUCUAAAGUCACCUUGCAUGCAAACGGUCGGUCAUUAAGUAGCUUUUAUGGUCAUCAUAGCACUUUAUUACUAGCGUUAUCAGUAACGCCCUACCUUAAUGUACAUUGAACCCUUCGUAACGUGGGCUGGCCGGGGUCCUGGCGCACUCUAUAUAAGCCACCUCCCUCCUCCGAGACAAGGGUUCGCACCUCUGUAACUCAUACACACAUAAUCCAGUCGACCGCCUCCGGGCUCCGAGACGUAGGGCUUUUACUUCUUCCGAGAAGGGCCUGAACUCGUAAACCUUGCGUCCUUACAACCUCUCCAUAGCUAAGACCUCGCCUCUCCAUACUUACACCCCUACAUCACUGUCAGAGUUAGAACCACGACAGUUGGCGCCCACCAUGGGGCUAGGAGUCUUAGCGCCUAGUUUGAGAGGUUGCGAUUUUUUCCGAUCUCCUUGAUCAUGGUUUCGAGCGAAGCUUUGGUGGAGGGCCGCGAGAUCCGUCUCGGCGCGCUCACGUUCAUCACCGACGACUCCGCUUGGCUUCAGGAGGCUCCACUCGACGUCGACGCGCUCCCCGUCCGCGGGGCGACGCACUUUCGCGCAUGCGUCCGCGGUGUCCUCCUGCGGCAGCCGUCGACCCAGUAUCAGUCGGCUCCCGUGGCAUCUCCCCACCCUAUUUCUUGCCGGCGCAAGCGCUCCGGCCGGUCGAGGCUUCAGAGGUGGGUGAGGCAUGCGGUGGCCCGCCAGUCGGCCACCCCACAAGUCGCGGCAAUCGAGCCCGACGAAUCCCUCUACGGCCUGUUCGACCGGUCGACUGGCUCCGCAGAGACCGCAUCCGAAUGCGACAGCAGUGACCCAGCUGCAGAGGUUCUGGUGAUCGAUGGGCCACACAGUCCUCCCGGUUUCCCCUGCGCUGACGGAGGCGCGGAUGGGGGCGACCCGUCGUGUCCUCACGAGGAGUAUCUCCCCGAGCCUCUCACAUCGUUGCAGCGGGAGGAACUUCGCCACCGGAACAUGGAUGCACUCCACACUACUAUCGUCGGAGAAACCCCCGAGGCCCAAGCCUUGGAGGACGCGUGGUUGGCUAACUUGGCCGAGCGCACUCGACUGGAGAAUCUCCAGCGAAUACUCGACGGGCGAGCAUGUCAACGGGCUCCAGAAUCCAGUCGACGUCAACCCUUUCCACCCCCUCAGGUAUAUCGUACUCCGAUUCAGAAUUUGGCGGCUGCGGCCCGUAUAGCAGAGUCGAUUCAGCCCUCCCAGUGAGAGGCUGGCAGAGGCUUGUUGCAAAUCAGAGCGUUGCUCCGGGCAGCGGGAGACCAGAAUUCCGCUGUUUCUCAGUCGCGGAACAGGAUCCACAGUCGAUCUGUUGCAGCGGAUACAGUCCAGUCGGCUCACAGCCUAAGAUCGCCUCCGAGGCGUGAGGGACUUGGAGACCGGCGUGAUCAGUACAGAAGGAAUGAGCAGUAUGAUCACCGAUUCGAUCGUGAUGAUCGACGUCGAGUGCCAACCCCUCCCCCGAGGAGUGGAUCAUAUGUGCCUCGACAACAGGCGGACAGACGCCCUCAUAGUGUUGGGCAGAGAAUUCCAGUCGACCCCAGGGAACCAGGCUUUGAUGCGAGAUCCAUUCUCGUUCAAGGUUUGGUCGACAGGAAUAGAGCUCACCGAGAAGGCCACGACAGAGAUGCGCCUACCAGUAGCAGAGUACAUGUUUCAGGGCCGGAGUGUUUCAGUCGAGCCAUCAGAGCUGCUGUAAUUCCUCCCAACUUCAGGUUGGCGACUGGAGUUAGUAAGUUCACCGGUGAGUCCAAGCCCGAUGCUUGGCUCGAGGAUUACCGAGUGGCUGUCCAGAUUGGCGGUGGGAAUGAUGAGGUAGCCAUGAAGCACCUGCCUCUCAUGUUAGAAGGCUCGGCCAGAGCGUGGCUGAAUCAGUUAGCACCCAGCAGCAUUUACACUUGGGAGGAUCUCUCCCGAGUGUUUGUCACCACAUUUGAAGGAACAUGCAAGCGACCUGCAGGCCUUACGGAAUUGCAGUCUUGCAUGCAGAAACCAAAUGAAACUCUGAGGGAUUACAUCCAGAGGUGGAUGACAUUGCAUCACACAGUUGAAAAUGUACCAGAUCAUCAAGCAGUUUGUGCCUUUAAAGAAGGCGUUAAGUACAGAGAAUUGAAUCUGAAGUUCGGUUGAACCGGAGAGAUGUCUCUGAAUCGGAUGAUGGAGAUUGCCACCAAAUACGCUAAUGGUGAAGAUGAGGAUCGACUCCGGAGUGGCAAGCAUAAAGCAGUCGCCUAGGAAACCGGAGGAAAUUCCAGUCGAAAACAGAAGCGGAAAGCCGAGCCAGCCGCUCCUGGGGAGGCCCUGGCCGUAACCCAGGGAAAAUUUAAGGGAAAACCCAAAGGACCUUGGAACCCCAAGAAAGUUAAAGACCAAGAUGGAAAUGAUGUUUUGGAUCUAUCGUGUCACAUCCACAACAAGAAAGAUGAAGAGGGUAAACUCAUUUACCCAAAGCAUACCACUCGACAGUGUCGGCUUCUGAUCCAGCAGUUUCAGGGCAAGCAGUCCAAAGAUAAGGAAAAGGAGUCGGACAAAGUUGAGGACAAGGAAGAUAGUGACGAUGGGUACCCCCAGGUCAAUUCCACCCUGAUGAUUUUUGCUGAUGUUGAGAGCAAAAGUCGACUGAAGGUUAUUAACCGUGAGGUAAUUAUGGUUGCUCCGGCAACACCCAAUUAUCUGAAGUGGUCCCAGACUGCCAUCACAUUCGACUAGUCUGAUCACCCUACACACAUUGCCACCCCUAGGAGGCAAGCUCUGGUGGUCGACCCAGUUGUCGAAGGCACUCGACUGACCAAAGUCCUGAUGGAUGGAGGUAGCGGUUUGAACAUACUGUAUGCAGAAACAUUGAAAGGGAUGGGCAUUCCGAUGUCCAGGCUCAGCACCAGUAACAUGAGUUUCCAUGGAGUCAUUCCUGGGAAGAAAGCCGGGUCACUCGGCCAAAUUGCUCUUGAUGUGGUUUUCGGUGAUUCCAAGAAUUACCGCAAGGAAAAGUUGACGUUCGAAGUUGUGGAUUUCCAAAGUGCUUAUCACGCUAUUUUGGGCAGGCCAGCUUAUGCACGCUUCAUGGCUCGACCAUGUUAUGUGUAUCUCAAAUUGAAGAUGCCUGGUCCCAAAGGUGUGAUCACUGUUACAGGCAAUCGGAAGAAAGCAGAAGAGUGUUUUCAGAAAGGCUCAAAGAUUGCUGACGCUCAGAUGGCGGUGGUCGAGCUGCAAGAGUAUCAGAAGACUGCAGAUCCGAGUGAGUUGCUACGAGCUAAGAAGCCUGCUUUAGAAUCAGCUUUUCAGUCGUCCGGUGAAACGAAGGCAGUUCACAUUCACCCGACCGAUCCAAACGCUGCUCCGACUCACAUCUCAACGACGGUUGACUCCAAAUAGGAAGAAGCGCUCAUCCAGUUCCUCCGUGAGAACUGGGACAUCUUCGCAUGGAAGCCUGCUGACAUGCCUGGAGUUCCUAGGGGGCUGGCUGAGCACCGUCUACGAGUCGACCCAAAAUUUAAACCUGUGAAAGAACAUCUUCGACGGUCCGCCGUCCAGAAGAGGAAGGCCAUUGGAGAGGAGGUGGCUCGGCUCUUAGCAGCAGAGUUCAUCCGAGAAAUUUACCACUCUGAGUGGCUCACCAAUGUUGUCAUGGUCCCCAAGAAGGACAAGUCACUUCGCAUGUGCAUUGAUUUCAAGCAUGUCAAUCGGGCCUGCCCGAAAGAUCAUUUUCCUCUCCCCCGCAUCGACCAGAUAGUCGACUCGACUGCGGGAUGUGAGCAUUUGUCUUUCCUAGACGCCUAUUCCGGGUACCAUCAGAUCCAUUUGUACGGGCCCGACGAGAUCAAAACAGCUUUCAUCACUCCUUUCGGGUGCUUCUGUUAUGUCACCAUGCCGUUCGGCCUCAAGAAUGCCGGAGCCACGUUCAUGAGGAUGAUUCAGAAUUGUUUGCUCACUCAAAUCAGUCGGAAUGUGGAGGCAUACAUGGAUGAUAUUGUGGUCAAGUCACGGAAGGGUUCCGACCUGCUGACUGACCUUGCUGAACCUUUGCCAACCUCAGGAGGUAUGAUAUCAAUCUCAAUCCGUCAAAGUGCACGUUCGGAGUUCCAGGUGGGAAGUUACUCGGUUUUCUCGUUUCCGAACGGGGAAUCGACGCCAAUCCUAAAAAAAUUGGUACUAUACUCCGGAUAAAACGUCCUGUGCGUGUGCAUGACGUCCAGAAGCUUACAGGAUGCUUGGCCGCUUUAAGUCGAUUCAUCUCUCGCCUCGGUGAAAAGGCAUUGCCUCUUUACCGACUGAUGAAGAAGUCCGACAAGUUCGAGUGGACUCCAGAAGCUGAUGCAACGCUUAUAGAGCUCAAAGCUCUACUCUCCACCUAGCCGGUGCUUGCUGCCCCAAUCAGCAAGGAGCCUUUGCUGCUUUACAUUGCAGCCACAGGACAAGUCAUCAGUACGGUACUUACGGUCGAGCGGGAAGAAGAAGGAAAAACCUUCAAAGUUUAGCGCCCAGUAUAUUAUGUUUCUGAAGUUUUGACUCCUUCAAAGCAAAGAUAUCCUCAUUACCAGAAGCUUAUAUAUGGGAUUUAUAUGACCACGAAGAAGGUUGCAGAUUACUUCUCUGAUCAUUCCAUUACAGUCGUUAGCGACGCUCCACUAUCAGAGAUUUUGCACAACAGAGAUGCAACUGGUCGAGUGGCCAAAUGGGCGAUUGAACUUCUUCCCCUAGAUAUCAAGUUUGAGGCAAAGAAAGCUAUCAAGUCCCAAGCAAUUGCAGAUUUCGUCGCCGAGUGGAUCGAACAGCAACUUCCGACUCAAGUUCACUCGGAGCACUAGACCAUGUUCUUCGAUGGAUCUAAGAUGCUAAAUGGUUCCGAUGCUGGGGUAGUAUUGGUUUCCCCCCGAGGAGAUAAGCUCAGAUAUGUUCUCCAGAUUCAUUUCGAUUCCUCCAAUAACGAAGCAGAAUAUGAAGCACUUUUGUAUGGGUUGCGCAUGGCCAUUUCACUCGGCGUCCGUCGCCUCAUGGUCUAUGGCGACUCAGAUUUGGUGGUUAAUCAGGUGAUGAAGGAGUGGGACAUCAGAAGUCCAGCUAUGACUGGUUAUUGCAAUGCAGUGAGAAAGUUAGAGAAGAAAUUCGAGGGGUUAGAGCUUCAUCACAUCCCCCGACUGAAAAAUCAAGCGGCUGAUGAUUUGGCAAAGAUAGGCUCCAAGAGAGAAGCCAUCCCCAGCAAUGUGUUUUUGGAACACAUCCACUCACCAUAAGUCCAAGAAGAUCCUUUUACAGAUUAAGCCCCGCAGCCAAAGAGUGCCACAGAUCCGACUGAAGUUGAAAUUCCUGCAGUGGUCGACUUAAUCAUGGAAGUUUUGGCAAUCACCCCCGACUAGACGAUACCGUACAUCGCGUAUAUCCUGAGAAAGGAACUCCCGUAGGACAAAGAAGAGGCUCGACAGAUCGUCCAUCGAUCCAAGGCCUUUACAGUCAUAAAGGGACAGUUGUAUAGAGAAAGCGCGACUAGAGUCGGUCAGAAGUGUAUAACACCAGGAGAAGGUCAGAUAAUCCUUGAUGAUAUCCACUCGGGGACCUGUGGUCAUCAUGCAUCCUCUCGGACCAUUGUGGCUAAAGCAUACCGAGCGGGAUUUUACUGGCCAAGAGCGAAUGAAAUGGCAAAAGAGAUAGUCGACAAGUGUGAAGGGUGCCAGUUCUACUCCAACAUGUCGCACAAGCCUGCAUCAGCCCUGAAGACCAUUCCACUCGUCUGGCCCUUUGCUGUUUGGGGACUGGACAUGGUUGGCCCAUUGAGAAUAGGCAGGAGCGGUUUCACACAUGUGCUUGUGGCAGUCGACAAGUUUACCAAAUGGAUUGAAGCUAAGCCUAUCAAGAAUCUUGAUGCUUGCACUGCUAUCGGUUUCGUCAGAGAGUUAACAUUCAGAUAUGGAGUCCCGCAUAGAAUCAUCACCGACAAUGGGUCAAACUUUGAUUCAGACAAGUUCAGAGCUUUUUGCGCCUCUCAAGGCACACGAGUCGACUACGCAUCGGUCGCCCACCCCCAGUCGAAUGGACAAGCAGAAAGGGCAAAUGGUCUAAUUCUCAAAGGACUAAAGCCUCGGCUGAUGCGUGAUCUCAAGCAUGCAGUAGGCGCUUGGGUCGACGAGCUUCCGUCAGUUCUGUGGGGAUUGAGGACUACCCCGAAUCGGUCGACUGGAAGAACUCCGUUCUUUCUGGUUUACGGAGCGGAAGCAGUCCUGCCGAGUGAUCUACUUCACAAUGCACCCUGAGUCGAGCUUUAUAUCGAAGAUGAAGCAGAACAAGCCCGGCAAGACGCAGUCGACCUCCUGGAAGAAGAAAGAGAAAUGGCUAUGAUCCGACCGACCAUUUAUCAACAAGACUUGCGUCGAUUCCAUGCCAGAAAUGUGAAGAGUCGAGCCUUCCAAGAAGGAGAUUUGGUCCUCCGAGUGGAUCAACAGAAACCACACAAGCUCGCUCCUACUUGGGAAGGUCCCUUCAUCGUCACCAGAGUCCUCCACAAUUGAGCGUAUCACCUUUACAAUGUCGAUCGCCAGAUCAAUGAGCCACGAGCUUGGAAUGCAGAACUGCUCCGCCCCUUUCACACUUGAAUUCUCACUCGGAUGAGAUGUAAUAAGAAAAACUUCUGUAGUCUAUUUAUCAAAGACAAGAGCAUUACAAAUUUUCCUAUAAUUGUUGUUGCUUUUGUUUGCGUGUGAAAUCCCCCAGUGGGUGGCUUAGCUGCGAAUCCGUUUUGCCUAAGUUUGUAAAAAAAUCCUAUCGAGUGGCGAGCCAGACUCCCACUCGGAGGCUUAGCUGCAGCUCAGUGCUCACCUAAGUGUUUAAAAAUCAUACCGAGUGGCGAGCCAGACUCCCACUCGGAGGCUUAGCUGCAGCCCAGUGCUCGCCUAAGUGUUUAAAAAUCCUAUCGAGUGGCGAGCCAGAUUCCCACUCGGAGGCUUAGCUGCAGCCCAGUGCUCGCCUAAGUGUUUAAAAAUCCUACCGGGUGGAGAGCAAACCUCCCACUCGGGGGCUUAGCUGCAGUCCAGUACUCGCCUAAGUUUGAAAAAAUCCUACCGAGUGGAGAGCAGACCUCCCACUCGGGGGCUUAGCUGCAGUCCAGUACUCGCCUANNNNNNNNNNNNNNNNNNNNNNNNNNNNNNNNNNNNNNNNNNNNNNNNNNNNNNNNNNNNNNNNNNNNNNNNNNNNNNNNNNNNNNNNNNNNNNNNNNNNNNNNNNNNNNNNNNNNNNNNNNNNNNNNNNNNNNNNNNNNNNNNNNNNNNNNNNNNNNNNNNNNNNNNNNNNNNNNNNNNNNNNNNNNNNNNNNNNNNNNNNNNNNNNNNNNNNNNNNNNNNNNNNNNNNNNNNNNNNNNNNNNNNNNNNNNNNNNNNNNNNNNNNNNNNNNNNNNNNNNNNNNNNNNNNNNNNNNNNNNNNNNNNNNNNNNNNNNNNNNNNNNNNNNNNNNNNNNNNNNNNNNNNNNNNNNNNNNNNNNNNNNNNNNNNNNNNNNNNNNNNNNNNNNNNNNNNNNNNNNNNNNNNNNNNNNNNNNNNNNNNNNNNNNNNNNNNNNNNNNNNNNNNNNNAAAAAUGCAACCGAGUGGAGAGCAAACCUCCCACUCGGGGGCUUAGCUGCAGUCCAGUACUCGCCUAAGUUUGAAAAAAUCCUACCGAGUGGAGAGCAGACCUCCCACUCGGGGGCUUAGCUGCAGUCCAGUACUCGCCUAAGUUUGAAAAAAUCCUACCGAGUGGAGAGCAGACCUCCCACUCGGGGGCUUAGCUGCAGCCCAGUGCUCGCCUAAGUGUUUAAAACUCCUACCGAGUGGUGAUCCAGACUCCCACUCGGAGGCUUAGCUGCAACCCAAUGCUCGCCUAAGUGUUUAAAAAUCCUACCGAGUGGCGAACCAGACUCCCACUCGGAGGCUUAGCUGCAGCCCAGUGCUCGCCUAAGUAUUUAAAAAUCCUACCGAGUGGUGAGCCAGACUCCCACUCGGAGGCUUAGCUGCAGCCCAGUGCUCGCCUAAGUGUUUAAAAAUCCUACCGAGUGGAGAGCAAACCUCCCACUCGGAGGCUUAGCUGCAGCCCAGUACUCGCCUAAGUAUUUAAAAAUCCUACCGAGUGGUGAGCCAGACUCCCACUCGGAGGCUUAGCUGCAGCCCAGUGCUCGCCUAAGUGUUUGAAAAUCCUACCGAGUGGAGAGAAAACCUCCCACUCGGAGGCUUAACUGCAGUCCAGUACUCGCCUAAGUUUUUAAAAUCCUACCAAGUGGAGAGCAGACCUUCCACUCGGGGGCUUAGCUGCAGCCCAGUGCUCGCCUAAGUACGGAACACAUCCCAAUCCGCAAGGACGACGAGGUGCAAAUCGACUGCUACCUUCUCCUUCGGAGCUGCACCACAAAUACAAAGUUAUUUCGAGUGAAGAACAAGUUCCACUCGACAGAUAAUUCAUGAAGAUAUUCAACGAUAAAUCAAGUUCAGAUAAGAUCCAAAGGUCCUAGACUGCAGAUCAAAGUACUCGAGCCUCCAGCUUGACAGAGUUUAACGGUUACGAAAUCCACUCGGCAUUCCGAGGCAAAUUUAAAAGUGAAGCAUAAAAGUUUUUAUUCCUCAGGCGGAGGACUGGAAGGAGCGACAAACUCGUCCAAGUCGAUCCCGUCUGCAAUGCGAGUGGUAGCAGCAAUGAAAGUCUCCAUGAAGUCUUGGAAGUUGUGCUUCCUGGUAUUGGCAACUUGGAUGGCGGCCAACUUUUCUUCUCGCGCCUCCUUGCAGUGGACGCGGACCAGAGACAGAGCGACGUCAGCGCCACAUCUAGCAGAAGAUUUCUUCCAUUCCGCCACUCGAUCUGGGACUUCAUUCAGUCGAGUCAUCAGGGACUCGAGGUCAUUCUGAAGUGUCGUCCUAGGCCAGAGCGAUGUGUCGAUCCGCGACAUCGCAACCUUCAACCGAGCAAGAUAGUCAACAACGCCGGCAACACGAGAUUCCAGUCGGAGCACGUUCAUAGCAGCCUCAUCCUUCACUGGAGAAUUGAUGGGGUCCAAGUCUGUCUCCACUCGACUGGUCUCCUCUUCGAAGUUCUGGCAGAAUUUUGUAAACACAAUUCAAGGAUAAGUCAGUGGCUCUACGCAGGUUUAGUAACUGCAAGUCAGUCAGGCCGGAGUAAUUACCCUCGAGCAUGACAAACAGCUUCUUGGCGAGUCCACCGAGAUAAGCCUCCAGAUCGUUCCUCUUCCCCGCCAGUUCACUUGCCUUGUCAUUCAGAGCUAUAUUGCCAUUCUUCAGACGGCUGACCUCUUGAUUAGCCACGUCAAGAGCAGUUUUCAGCCUGGAGUUUUCCUUUUCAAGAGUACCGACUGAAGCCAAUUUUUCUUCAGCAAGCUUCGUUCUGUUCAGGGCCUCCUUCUGCGCUUCGGCAAGGUCUUGAUCCUUCUUCUUCAGAGCCUCCUCCAUUUUGUCUGCGAAAUAGCAAGUGAGAUCAACAUCGAGGAUGGCCAGAAAGAAAAGACAGUCGACAAAAGCUCACCAGCCAUACCUUUUGCUUCGUCCCUCGCCUUCUGCAAGUUCUCCUGAGCAAGCUUCAAGUCAAGGUUCACCUGGAUCUGUUUGUUCUCCAACUCAGUGUAGCGAGCCACAAGUUCGCAGGAUUUCUGCAAAAAAUCAGUCGACAGACAUCCAAGAUAAGUUGCUUCCGAGUAACCAAGAGACAAUGAUGGCAUUUCUAAGACUACAGCCGAAUCAAAAACAUUCGACAGUAGUCUCGGGGACUACACCCAGUGGGUGCACUCAGCAUGCCCCCACUAGUUCGACCAAAAAAAUCGACUGCCCGCAGUCGACCGUGUACAGUUCCAUUCGACAUGGCCUGACCAGACCGAGUGAAGAAGUUCAACUAAAGCAACACAAUAUAAAGACUACAGUCGACUGCCAGCAGUCCACCGUAGUCUCAGGGACUACACCCAGUGGGUGCACUUAGCGUGCCCCCACUCGUCAAAAAGAUUAAUAGACACACCCAGUGGGUGUACAGAUAUAAAGAUCUUUGGAAAAGAGAUUCUUCAAAUAGCAUAUCCUAACAGAACAAGCGGUGAAUCGACUGACCUGGACGUUGCUCUGAAGAGCUGAGCUCGCGUCAUAAGCUGCUUGGCUGGCUUCCCGAACCACCUUCACUUGCUCCAUCAUGAUCCCCGCCUAGCGUAUAGCCUCUUUAGCGGCACCCACUUGGUCCUCAGGGACGUGGUGUGUGGCAAAAAGCGAAGGCGGAUUUGCAGUCGACGUCGAAGGCCGGACACUCGUCAGAGGUUCAGCGAAGGUCACAGAAACCCGAGUGGUAUCACCACCCUCCCGGACUGCGGCCUCAGGCGCCGGAGUAGUUUGUGGGGUCUUGCCAGCCGGCGCCCUCCUGUUCCUUCGCGCCAUCAGAGGCACUUCGUCGUCAUCAUCAGGGAGGUCAAUGACAUGAGGAGGAGCUACAAGAAAAAUCCAAUCGACCGGAAUUAUAAGAAAUCAUCAGUCGACUAAAAGCAGAGCAUCAGUAAUCAUACCGGGGUUGGAGGUAACAACGUCUUCCAUCUCUUGAUCAUCAUCCUUGGCGGAGAUCUCCGAGGUGGCAGCACUACAAAUUUCGAAAGUCAGUCAACUUAUUCAAUGAGUCGACCAAGAGUCCAUCACGUUCGACAAAGGAAAACAAAUUCUACUAUUACCCAGAAAUGGUGGGGACAGUCAUCCCCAUCUUGGGCAGAGCCUUGGGCGGCUUAGACAGCGUCGCGCGUGGGUGCUUGGGAGCUUUUUCUGUCGGUGCUGGAGAUGAGGUCCGAGGGCGCUUCGACGACUGCCCAACAGGGACAGUCGCCUUACCACGUUCCCGCGCAGGGUCGUGUGUAAGCUUGGAUCGCCGUUCCGAGCGGGGAGGUUCGACUUCUUCCUCCUCCUCUUCACUGGAGUCGUCGUCGUCAUCCCCCUCUCCUUCGUCGUCCGAUUCCCACUCUUCUCCCCCAUCUCCACUUUUGCCUCCACUUGCCUCUCCUUCCUCGGCCCGCUCCUAUGCUCCAUUGGGCGUCGAGUACAUCUCAGUAGUGUCCUAGAGGACAACAAACGAGACAAAAGUCAAUCGACUGAUCCAAAAAGAACAAAUAAAGAAAGAAAAGAUCACAGUCGGAAACGCAAGGUCAGACCUUGUCCACUUCGUAUGUUUGGUCGAGUGGAGGAAUCCUCCUGGCUCCUCGGGGGUUGUCCUUGUUCCUUGUGAUACUCGGCAGCCACCCUUCCAGCAUCUUGUUAGUGACCUCCUCUGGGUGAAUCCGAGUGGUGUCUUCGAGACCCGAGUAUAGCCACAUCGGGUGGUCAUGAGCCUGAAGCGGUUGGAUGCGCCUCCGAAGGAAGACUUCCAACAAGUCCAUGCCAGUCACACCCUCACGGACAAGCUAAACCACUCGACCGACCAGCACCUUGACUUGCGCCUUUUCCUCCAGCGCCACUUUCAGAGAGGCAGGUUUUUGUGCUCGAUUCAGAGAAAAAGGGGGAAGCCCAGUCGACUGUACUGGGGUCACCUGGUCUUUACAGUAAAACCAAGUCGACUGCCACCCACGGACUGACUCGGGAAAAGUGAUAGACGGAAAGGAACUUUUUCCCCUCAUCUGGAUCGCCAGACCCCCGCACAGCUGGAUCACCUGCGUCCGUUCGUCACUCGACUUGGCCUUCUUGACCGACUGAGAGCGGCAAGUGAAGAUGUGCUUGAAGAGUCCCCAAUGGGGGCGGCAACCCAAGAAGUUUUCACGCAAGGAAACGAAAGCAGCAAGAUACACAAUGGAAUUGGGAGUAAAGUAAUGGAGCUGCGCUCCGAAGAAGUUCAAGAAGCUCCGGAAAAAAGGAUGAGGAGGCAGAGAGAAUCCACGAUCGAUAUGGGUGGCGAGGAGGAUGCACUCACCAUCAAGAGGCUGGGGUUCGACUUCUUUCCCCGGGAGGCGCGCAGAUUCGUGGGGAAUGAAUCCCCCCUCGACUAGAUCAUCGAGAUCAUCCUGCCGAAUCACCGACGGCAUCCAGUCGCCCUGGAUCCAAUCCUUGGGCAGAGCAGUCCUCGAGGAAGAUCCGCCCCGAGCGGACUUCUUCCCCUUCCCCUGCACCGUCGCCUUCUUCGCGCGCUCCAGAGCCGAUGUCUUCUCCUUCACCAUCGUCGCCGGCAAAGCUCGAACAGACCUAUGGCACCAAGGUGGGAGCGGAGGUGGCGGAGGAUCUUGUGAAGGAAGGGGGAAAAGUGAAGGCGCACUGUUCGGGGGUCCCGAGCCGGCAGCUUAUAAGAGGUCGCUUCCGAGUGGCUGACUGGUAGGCCCAGGCAAUCCCAUCAAAUCCCGCAACGGGCACGCGUGGUACGUGGCGAAAAAGGUGGCGCGGGGAUCGAGGAGCUUCCGUCCUAUCCCAUCCGAUUACUGCGGCCGCCCCCGUCCCGCGCGCUUCCCGAAAUUCAAUUCCCGCAAAAUCCGCGGGCCAUAGAACAACUCGUCAAACAGAAGAUCCCUUUCACACCGUCACUCGGAACUUCACAAGUAAAGAAAUUCACGCGACAAGAGGCCAAGAAUGGAUCAAGGCGACUGAAAGAAGUUGACGACAUCAUCCGUGACAAUUGAUCCAAAACAAGACGUUCAUAUAACAUGAAGAACCAGUCGGAAAGAUCCCCAACUCUUUCCCCACUCGAACCUCGAUCCAUUCGGGGGCUAAUGAUGAAGCUAUGUACCGAGGAUAGGGGCAUGGACCUGUCCUAAGUACCCUACCCAAGGACAUCCCUAGAAGAAGUCACCUUUCAAUCGACUUGGAGGUAUCCCACUUGACGGAUUCAAGACACUCGACCAUGAAGCAAUCACUCAACCAAGAUCCAACCACUCGACUGCCAGGAGAUCUAAAGUCACCCUGCACGCAAACGGUCGGUCAUUAAGUAGCUUUUAUGGUCAUCAUAGCACUUUAUUACUAGCGUUAUCAGUAACGCCCUACCUUAAUGUACAUUGAACCCUUCAUAACGUGGGCUGGCCGGGGUCCUUGCGCACUCUAUAUAAGCCACCCCCCUCCUCCGAGACAAGGGUUCGCACCUCUGUAACUCAUACACACAUAAUCCAGUCGACCGCCUCCGGGCUCCGAGCCGUAGGGCUUUUACUUCUUCCGAGAAGGGCCUGAACUCGUAAACCUUGCGUCCUUACAACCUCUCCAUAACUAAGACCUCGCCUCUCCAUACUUACCCCCUACAUCACUGUCAGAGUUAGAACCACGGCAGCAUCUUGUAUAUUUCGUCCAAGGCUUCAAGCACUCCUUAUGGUGGCUUCAAAGUCCUGAAAUCAUCACUUGCAACUCCGUUCUUGUUCCCCUUGCGCAUGCCAUCAUCCCCAUGCUUGGUCUUCCUCCAGUGUUCAUCCCUCUUAUCCAUGCCAGGCCCUUCAUUUGUAAGCAAAAUAAAUGUAUCCAAUUUAGGCAGCAUCAUAUUCUCAUGAACAUUAGAAUCAUUACCAAGAAACGGAAGUACCUGAUAAUUUAAUUGGCGUGUGCGAGCUCUAGUGGUUGGUCUAGUAUAUGUAGCAGUAGGGGCUGUGGGUGUAACAAUGGUAUUGAUGUCCUCAUAAAUUGGAGGUAUGGACUCGUCGAGGAUAGGCGUGUCGUCAUGUAGGAGACCUAGCACCAAACAAGAAAACACACUUGGAGUAGAGGUUAAGUCAUUAGAAAUCAUAGUGGCCUGACAUGUCGUGUCAACUACCUCACUCACUAAGUGUUGUGGCUCACUCACUCCCUCUUGGAUGCUCUCACUCAUAUGGUUGGUGGAGUCACUCAAAUGGCUCUCAACCUCACAUAGGAUGUGUGGCAUGCUCUCAUGUGUGGGGCUAGUGGUGGUCACACUCAUCCUCUCAUAGGAAAUGCACUCAAUGUCACAUAUGGUGGAGUCACUCAUCUCACUCAUGGGGUGGUGGCUCUUCUCACAUGGAAAUUGGUGCAUCUCUUCAUAUGUGGGUGUCGGAGAGACGUAGGUGCAAAUGUCUCGAUGCUCAACUCCUAUCGCUGCCUUGGUUGAAGGGAUAGUCCCAUGCUCAACCUCCUCAUCCAUAACGCCUCCAAAGAUGAAUGCAGUAGGGUGUGGCAAAACAUCACUCUCCUCCGAGACCAAGGAUAAGUUCUCAUGUGUGCUCGCGUAGCUUGACUCGGAGUAUGAGUCCAAUAUGGGCGCCGUAUUCAUGUUGUUGAAGAGGUCCGUGCUCGUCGUCGUGGUCGAAGGGGAUGGCCCUUGCUCGACCUUCUUGUCACUGUCUUGUUGUUGGAGGCCCAUAUGAUGUGGCACCUCGUAGCUCGUCUCCAUGACCGAAGGGAAUUUCCCAUGAUCGGCCAUCUUCCUUGAGGGGCUUUCAAAGAUGGAAGUGUCUCCCUCACUUGUAGGUGGUCACCUUGUACUUGAUGAUAUCGAUGUAGGCGAACUCAUGGGAAGUAGGCGAAGAUGUCGUACGUCCAAAGGAGAAGAUGCCUUGAUAACACUUGGCGAAGAUGCCGAAGUGGUGGUGGUAGCCGUAGCUUCAUCUUGGUGUGGUUGUCUCACGGUCUUCUCUUUUGCUCAUGAAGAUUGGCCUUGGCGUGAAGUAGGGCCUGUUGGGACUUGUGCAUUUGCGCUUGGCGAGCAUCUUCAUGAUGAUGGUGUCGUUGUCAUGCUUAAGCUCGUAGUAGAUGUUGUUCCUAAUCGUCGUGCACAUGUUGCUUGGAGGUGACUUUCCUUCAUGACGUUGUGGAUCACGAGUGUGAUGAUGGUUUCCAUGUAGAUGUGGAUGUGGACGAAUUGCGCUUGCAUCACUUGGGCGCUUUGAAGAUGAUUGACUUUCUUGCCAUUUCUUUGAGGAUGAUGAAGGGGAAGAACGUUUGGCCAACAAAGUUUGAAUCUCCUCCAUCCUUGCAUCUUGCUCCUCCUUUUGUGUGGAAAGCUUGUUGUCGAUGUAGUCCCUUUUCCUUGCUUCGGAGUGACGAAUGUCGAUGGAGAGGUUCUCGAUGUGCUCUCGCAAGGUAGAAUGUGUGCCUUGCAUUUGUUGUUGUAGGCCGAAGAUUGACACUUUGGUGAUGUAGUUGUUCGCGCCGCCGUUGUCGUGGAAGACCGGAGAUGAAAUGCCUUUCCUAUCCAUCACAAGAUUCGAGCAAAUAUGAGUGGAAGAAAGGAGAUGUCACAGCCCUAGAAUAUCUGAGUAUAAUAGUUGCAUUAGUGAGCCUGCAUCAUGUUUAAAUUUCAAGGAAAUUGAAAUGAGGAAUAUUCAAAGCCUCAAAAAUUAUUGUAAAGAAGGGCAAGAACCCUUUAAAUUGCAUUCAGUGAUUCCAAAUUGCCUUAAAAAUAGUUUUGAGAAUUUUGGCAAGGGAUAUAUACCAAACCAAGAUUUUGGAACAUUUUUAAGGGAUUAUUUGGUCUCUGAAUUUAAAACAAUAUUCUAUUUGAAUUUGAAAAUAUAUUCAAAUAUAUAUGGGAUAUGUUUUCAAAUGCUCUGUGAUAAUUUAUGUGCCUCUGGAAAAGUCCAUGAGGCAACAUAAAAAUACUCAGAGGAUGUUUUGGCAUUGUUUGAAUUCAAAAUAGUGGCAAAGGAUUAAAUAAAAGAAAACAGAAGGGAAAUAAAACAGAACAGAACUUACCUGGCAGCCCACUUACCUGGCCAGCUGGCGGCCCGGUAAGACAGCCCAGCCCACCAGGGGCAGAGGCAUCUUCCACCUCGCGCCAGUCGGACGCAGGGCGCGUGCUCGCUGCAUGCCGGCCACACGCCACGCCACCUCCUGCUUCUGCCGCUUCUCCAACGAGGCUGUGAACGCCACGCGCCAGCCCUAUACCCCCCAUCACUCUCCUCCCGUGCCUUCCCCCUCCUCUGCUCUCUCUCCCGCCCGGACCCAAAUGCAUCAGAGAGCGCCGCCGUGCACCGCCGUGGCCACAACCACUCCCUCACUCCCUCUCCGUCCCAAGCGUCUCCGCCUCGCCGUCUUCGUCCUCUCCACAGAGUCACGCGGUGCCAGAAGCUCUGCUGCGCUGCCACCGCCGCCGUUUCCUUGUCGGCCACCAAAGAUCGUCAUCGUCGAUCCGCUGCCCCGAGCGCCUCCCCAAGCCCACGGAGCUUCUCUUUGACCCCCAGUGAGCUCUUUCACCGUCUUCCCUUAUCCCCGUGGCAUGUAGCUCGCCGUAGCAUCACUCUCCGCCGUGCCCGCGAGCUUCACGCCGCCGGCGAAGUCGUCAUCGUGGCUAGAGCAAGCCUAGCUUGCCCCUGAGCACGUCAUCGCACUCGUGCUGCUCCCAGGAGCCGAACUAGCCCACCCGUUCGUUCCACCGUGCACCACAACGCCGAUUCCAAGCACUCCCGAACUCCGGCCGCCGCUGCCAAGCUCGCCGGCGUCAUUUCCGGCCUCCCCGCACCCAACCGCCUACACCACUCGACGCGCGCGAGCUCCAGCUACUCGUAGAUGGGCUUCGCCGUUGAUUUGGUCGCCGGAGGAAGAUUUCCGAGCCUCGCCGCCGUGUCUGGCCUCGCCGACGUCGAGUCGCCGGCAGGUUUGACCUGUUCGACCCGGGGGUUUGACCUCCAUGGGGUCAACACACAUGGGCCCGCCCUUGACUAGAUUAGUUUAGGCUCUAAUUAACCCACACCCACUGACACCGGGCCCCACCCCCUAAACUAACCCCUAGUUAAAUUAGUUUAACAAAAAAAUAACUCUCUAUUAGUACAGAGCCUAUGACAUGCGGGCCCUAGAGUCAGGUUUGACGUGGACCCGUCCUGUUGACUAGAUGAUGUCACAGUGACGCGGUGAUGAGGUCAUAAAUGCUUUUCUGGAUUUUAAAUAAAUCAAAAAUGAUUUGUUUAAUUCAGAAAAUAUCCAAAACUUUGAAAAGUCAUAGAAUUUCAACCGUAACUCCAAAUAAGAUAAAUGAUAUAUGAAAAAUUAUCAGAAAAAUCCAAGGAAUCUGUUUAUGGCAUUUUCAUGCAUGUUUGAGCAACUUAACCUCACUGUUUAGUCCAAAACAUGAUAAUGCACUAUUUGAAUUCAUAGUUUGAAUUUGAUUUUGAACCUUGAGUUCAAAUCAACCCAAAACCUUUCUGUUACUAGUUGCAUUAGCUCAAAUCACAACAUAUUGUCAUGUCAUGAUCAUGCAUCAUAUUGUGCAUUGCAUUGAUUGUGCUCUUCCUUGUUUGUCGGUAAUUCUCCCCUCUCGGUAGACGCUGCUCCGACGCUAUGAUCGUUGACACUGAUGAAGACUCAAUGUUAUCUUCAGAAGUGCCAGGCAAGCAAAACCCCUUUGUUCAUUCCAAUACAAUCCCACUCUCUCGCUCCUGCUCUCUUUUACUGCAUUAGGGCAACACCGAUUCAACUGUUACAUGCUGCGGUAGCUGAACCUUUUCCUCUGCAUGACCUGUCAUUGCCACAGUAAAUAGUUGAAACCCACUAGCAUGAGUAGGAGUUGUUUGAGCCCUGAUGUGCCUACUCAUUCAUGCUUGUUUGUCAUGCCUGCUACUGCUUAGAGUUGAGUCUGGUCUGAUUCAUCGGGAAUGAAUUGGAACGUGGUGAACAUGUCCUACCGUUGAGAGCUAAGUGUGUGAACACGAUUUGGUAAAGGUAGUGGUGAGAGGCCAUGUAGGAGUACAUGGUGGGUUGUCUCAUUGCAGCCGUCCUCAGGAACUGAGUCCUGUGUUUGUGAUCCAUGAACAGUUACUACCACACAUUGGGUUCCGGUAACUCGGCCCCUCUCGGCUUAUUAAUCAAUUCGAUCUCUGUCCAGGAGUUGCAACUAGUUUCUGGUGUUUGUAGGUAGUGUUAGUAGUCUACCAAGUGGCACCCGGUACAAGUGGGCUUGGGACAGACUAGGCACCGUGGCACGGUGUACCAAGUGGCACCUGGAUGGUGGGCUUGGGAACCCUACUCACAUCGUUUGGGGCCAUGAGCGACACCCCGGCCGGAUCUCCUUGCGGAUGGAACCCGAAUAGGCGAUAAACCUGGACUAGAGACUUGUUGGUUAGUCAGGUCGUGGCCGACUCCCUCGCCCGGCUUCCGCUAGAAGGUUGCCGAGGUACAUGACAUGUACAGGGCGAUAAGUGGCGAGAGCGUGUGUGAAGAAUUACACCCCUGCAGGGUUAUCACUAUCUAUUCGAAUAGCCGGAUUCCUCGGAUAUGGAAACUUGGACCCCUUGCAUAGCUCAUAGACAAGUGAAAGUGGAUACUCUAAAACUCACAAGAUAAGCGUGAGUGCUAUGGAUGGCAUUCUCGCAGGGAGACGGGAGUGGAUCCAUAGUGGUGUAUUAGUAUGGUGAAUUUGUGGACUCGUGUGCGUCACCUCAAAAGAGUUACUUGCAAUCAUAGUUCAGGUUAGCCACUGAGUCAAAGAUGGCUUGUUGUAGUUAAACUCCACCGCCCCCUUUGUUGAUACCGAUGCAUGUGUAGCUAGUUCUGAUGUAAGUCUUGCUGGGUACAGUUGUACUCACAUUUGUCUAAUUUAUGUUUUGCAGAGAGACUUCAGUCUCACUAGUAGUUCCACGUGGACUUCAACGUUUAGCUUGAUUACUCAGCUACGAUCUUGUGCCCUCGGCAGGAUCUGGUAGAUAGUCAGGCUUCUCCGCCUUUUUCAUUUAUAGAUGUCUGUACUCAGACAUGUUAAGCUUCCGCAUGUGCUUUGAUUGUAUGCUAUGAUUGUUGGGUCAUGAGACCCAUGUUUGUAAUAUCUCGCUCCUCGGAGCCUAAUGAAUAAAUACUCUGAGUCAUAGAGUUAUGUUGUGAUGCCAUGUUGUAUUGCACAUAUUGAGCAUAUUGUGUGUAUGAUUGAAAUGCUUGGUAUGUGUGGGAUCCGACAACCUAGUUGUUUAUCCUUGGUAGCCUCUCUUAUGGGGAAAUGUAGUCUUGUGCUUCCAUGAGCCAUAGUAGUCCGCUACAGCCUGGUUCACCGGAGUCUUGCUAGCCCAGUGCUACUGCUCCGGAACACUUGACUAGCCGGCAUGUGAUUCACUUCGUUCCUGUGUCUGUCCCUUCGGGGAAAUGUCACGCGGUGACAUCCGGAGUCCUGCCUAGCCUGCUAUAGCCCGGUUCACCGGAGUCCUGUUAGCCCAGUGCUACAGCCCAGAUUCACACGCUGUUGACCGACAUGCUCGAUGGUGAUUCACGUAUGCCUGUCCCCGUAAGUUAGUGCCACUUUGGGUUCACGACUAGUCAUGUCGGCUCGGGUUCUCUGUCAUAUGGAUGCUAGGGACACUAUCAUAUACGUGAGCCAAAAGGCGCAAACGGUCCCGGGCCAUGGUAAGACGACACCCGUGGGAAUACCGUGCGUGAGGACGCAAAGUGAUAUGAGGUGUUACCGGCUAGAUAAAUGUGACUUGGAAUCGGGGUCCUAACAGCUUUGGUAUCAGCGCCUGAUUGCCUGUAGGAUUACCAAGCCAAGCUGGUCGAAGUUAAGUCCAGAAAUGCUUUAGUUAUAUAAGGGAAUUGAUUGUGGAAGGGAACGUAGGGCUCUUUUUACUCCUUAUCCUCAUGACCUUCUGAUCUGAGUCAUCUUAUCUUUUCUACAGGGUUAAGAACUAGGCUUCUCUUCUAUCUCUCAGGAUGAUGUGUUACUAAACCAUAGUUGCCUAGGAUUGUUGAGUUCAAGCCUCAGUUCAGUUCCUACUACUUCCAUAUGUUCAUAACUGGCCUCAGAACCUUGAUAUUGUGAUGUUGAGAGGUUAUGCCACCAUCUUUGCAGGUUGUCUCAAAUCAUUUUGAGCAUUUAUAGUCGUUAUGUUGUCCGAGUCAUCCCAGGUUUCUAAAAUAGUCUGAUGCAUUGCAAAUCCCUUCUUAUCGUUCUUGAUGUCCCUUUAGGCCAGUUCAACCACACUGAUCGGUGAGUUGAGGUACUUUAUUGCCUCGACAUAUAUGUUGGAGCCAUUAUUAUGACCCUAGGCAUCUUAGAGAACCACCCAUAAUCUAGCCAUGCUUUAUAUUCCCAGUGUGAUGAUUCUGGCCACCAUUCUCGAGAGCAUCCUGUGAUGCUACUUAGUAGUAGGUAUUCUACUCCUGGGUUUCUGAUCUCGAGAUUCACCCUACUUACUUCAUGUUGAUAGUUUUGCUUGUUCCUUUAGGAUAUUAGUAACCUUUGUGAUAGUCCUCGAGGCUCAUGGUAUAUCCUUCUUCCAAAUAUCAUGAAGUGCUUAUGGCAGAAGUUCUGUUGAAUCAAAAGAUCACAACUAGAGUGAUCUUGAUGAGUUAUCCAUUCUGCAUUGUGAAUCUGCCAGUCCUACCUUUCUGCAUGGAUUACAUGGAAGAAAAAUGUUGAACUUGUUUGACAUACCAAAUCUAUGCAUCCGCAACUCAUAAAACCAUAUGUUCCUUUGAGUUGUCUCUCUUUAGUUGUAUUCUGACCUCUGUCCAUCAAUUGAUAGUCUGGACUAGUUGUGCAUUCAUGUUCAUCGAUGCCUACUAUUCUUGUGGUCCGUCAAGCCAUCCUAUUCAGAAUGACUAGGAGAAACAAACUCCAGCACCUUAUCCAUAUCUAGGAUUGGGUCAAAGCAGUUGUAAUCCGCAAAUCAAAUGCAAAUCCAGUUUUUGAUUCUGUUCUACCUUGGAGUAUUACCAUCUUUAUAUCAAGAUUGUCAUGGAAAUUGCACACCAUCCUAUGAACUCUUGAUACAGUGAUACUUCUUGCCAUCAUUGUUCAUUCCCCGGUUCCCGUGUUUUUAUAACCGGAAUGCCGGCAAGUGAGCCAUGAUGUGUGAAACCAAUACUCCUAGCAACUCCGUUGCUUGGUAGUUAAUGGACAAUAUUCUCAUUCUUAGCAUGUUGGUUAUUAAAUCAUCAUCCCAAGAUUGAUCGUGCUACCUAGUCCUUAUUUCUGGUGCACUCUUCGAUCAAUGAGUUAGGAUUGUGUCAAUUCCUCACUCUUUUUGAUCAUAUCAUCUUGCCCUGAAAAGCAAGAUUGUUCUCGAGCUUAAUAACAUAUCGCUGGUUCGUGAUUUUCCGAAUAUCUCUCGGAAGUAUUACCAGGUUGUCACCUGACCGCUAUGUUGAGUUCGUGAUCAUGUUGGUUUUCCUCCAAACCACCCAUUCUCCAAGAAUCUGUGUUGGAUACCCCGAGCUAGUUGGUUAAGCUAAACAACAACUUGGAGAGUUGGAAGAUGAAAGCUUGUCUGACUUAGUUCAUGAUAAGGGAUAUCUUUUUGUGUGUGUGUGUUGAAGAAAGAUGAUAUCUUCAUCGAUUGGUCCCUAUAAUCAGUUAUUGGACCUAUUGUCUUAUCAACUUUGAUUUGAGUAUGGGCUAUCGUCAAAUCAAAUCAGAACCAACGAUGUUCAUAAUGAUGUCUUACUCGUGGUUGGUUCCUCGAGCAUACACCAUUACAUCCUUUGGGUCUAACCAAUGCUAUCACCGUGUUCACAUGAUGGUGGAAGUCCAGUGAUAUGGAAAUUCUGAUGACUUGCUGUUGAACCCAUCAAUAACAUUUUGUCUCCCCCAUGAUUCAUGUUGAACAUCAACCUAGUAUUGGGAACUUUGUAAGCAAUGCCUUCGUGUUUCGUUCAUGAAGCUUAUGCUUGGAUGGAAUAAGUGACUUCCUCAAAUUCAUGUGCAUUUGGAGCAAGUUGCCGCCAUAAGUUCGAGAAAGAUUGUUUUGUUUCCUCUGGUACCAUCCCAAGUUAGUUAUGCAUGUGCGAAUGUAUUAUAUGGUUUGUAGAUUAAUUACCUCCACUCCAUAUGUACUCCCUAGCACACCAAGCCACUGACUGAUUUGUUCUAGGAAAAGGAGUUAAGUGCUAAUCCAUGGUAAUGCACAAGACUUCGACAUCCCCGGUGAUGGUUCCCCACUUGAACACGAUAGUGUUUUAUUAUAAGACUACUACGUGGUCAUGCUUGUCUUGGAUAGUGUGUUCUCAAGUUUGUAGCAGAACCAGCUCGUGUUUUGGAGCUUGCUAUCGUAGUUCAUUUCCUGAGAAUCUCGCAAUGUCAUCUCGUCGAAUUGUGUUGCAAACUUUCAUUUUUCUUUCUAGACUUGAUGAGUCUGGAAUAUCCUGACACCAACCAGAUCUGAAUCUCAGGCAGAUAUGAUGGUUGGGACGUUUCUCAAGAACUAUAAUAUUGGUCUCUCUGUAACCCGGUACAGUGGAUGUCAUGGCCAACACACCCGGCCGGAGGACUUAUUAUUGUAGUAUCUUGAUUGAGAAAGUUGACCACCUCCCCAUAAGGAUUUCGUAGGAUUAUUCCAAUAGUUGUUCCUUAUGGAUUUUUGUGUUCCCGAAGUCUGACCUUUUACUUGAUGUCCUAGAUAUCAAACCAUAUCUAUGAAUGGAUUACGCUAGCACAUCAAGGAGAACAUUAGAGGCGGAGUGCUAAAUGUCUCUCGGUCGAUCAUCCAGAUUCUGUUUCCUUAGCCUCGCUAAGGGGAAGUCUGAGAAGGUGUUAUCUUCCUUUGUAUCCGCAUUGUCCAUCACUAUUCAUCAUGGUAGUAAGAUUUGAUGCCAGGAUCCUCGACACGGAUGUUGGUAGAACCUUGAUGAAUAUGGAAAUGCUCAAGUUCUUGAGAGCACGCGCAAGCAAAAUCAUCCCUUGUGUUGUCUUCAACAAGGUAGUUCACAUCAUCCAUUCUAGACCGAGUGUGUCGUUCUCCCGAACUCCGUCAAACGAUUGUUCGUAAAUUGCCUUAGGCCUGUAUAAAGAGUUUCAAUGAUCUCUGAAUCAAAAGUAAUUCUUUUUGCCACUUAAGGGAAUAUUUCUAUGAGUCACCUUCCUUAAGAUGUCUUGUUAUGGUAUCAUGGCAAUUAUCUCCUCGCUACUUCGAAACCAUGCACUAUCCUACUCCAGCAUGGAAUUGUCGCCUACCAAUUUGAACCUUUGUCAUAUGUUUCCCAUCCAUCAUCUCUGAUAUGUGUUUUGCGUCUUAGCUCAAGGGAUGUUUCUACGUCUCAUUCCGUGAGUUGAUCUUGUGUUCAUUAAGAUCGAUGAUCCAUUCUUUUGAGGUUGUCUUGCUCUCUUGUCGCCAUGUUGGAUGAAGUUCUCGAGGCUAAGGAUGUCAUGAUCAAAGGUGAUGAUCGAAUCAAUGUUCUUAUGAAGUCCAACAUGGAUCGUGAAGACCGUGUCAGUUCCGUGUCCCCUCUGUCUUCUCACCUCACGUCUUGAAUCUCGGGGCGAGAUUCUUGUUUUAGUGGGGGUGAGUUGUCACAGCCCUAGAAUAUCUGAGUAUAAUAGUUGCAUUAGUGAGCCUGCAUCAUGUUUAAAUUUCAAGGAAAUUGAAAUGAGGAAUAUUCAAAGCCUCAGAAGUUAUUGUAAAGAAGGGCAAGAACCCUUUAAAUUGCAUUCAGUGAUUCCAAAUUGCCUUAAAAAUAGUUUUGAGAAUUUUGGCAAGGGAUAUAUACCAAAACAAAAUUUUGGAACAUUUUUAAGGGAUUAUUUGGUCUCUGAAUUUAAAACAAUAUUCUAUUUGAAUUUGAAAAUAUAUUCAAAUAUAUAUGGGAUAUGUUUUCAAAUGCUCUGUGAUAAUUUAUGUGCCUCUGGAAAAGUCCAUGAGGCAACAUAGAAAUACCCAGAGGAUGUUUUGGCAUUGUUUGAAUUUUGUUUGAAUUCAAAACAGUGGCAAAGGAUUAAAUAAAAGAAAACGGAAGGGAAAUAAAACAGAACAGAACUUACCUGGCAGCCCACUAACCUGGCCAGCUGGCGGCCCGAUAAGACAGCCCAGCCCACCAGGGGCAGAGGCGUCUUCCACCUCGUGCCAGUCGGACGCAGGGCGCGUGCUCGCUGCGCGCCGGCCACACGCCACGCCACCUCCUGCUUCCGCCGCUUCUCCGACGCGGCUGUGAACGCCAUGCGCCAGCCCCGUACCCCCCCUCACUCUCCUCCCGUGCCUUUCCCCUCCUAUGCUCUCUCUCCCGCCCGGACCCGAACGCAUCAGAGAGCGCCGCCAUGCACCGCCGCGGCCACAACCACUCCCUCACUCCCUCUCCAUCCCAGGCGUCUCCGCCUCGCCGUCUUCGUCCUCUCCACCGAGUCAGGCAGUGCCAGAAGCUCUGUUGUGCUGCCACCGCCGCCGUUUCCUUGUCGGCCACCAAAGAUCGUCGUCAUCGAUCCGCCGCCCCGAGUGCCUCCCCGAGCCCACGGAGCUUCUCUUCGACCCCCAGUGAGCUCUUUCAUCGUAUUCCCUUAUCCCUGUGGCAUGUAGCUCGCCGUAGCAUCACUCUCCGCCGUGCCCGCGAGCUUCACGCCGCCGGCGAAGUCAUCACCGUGGCUAGAGCAAGCCCAGCUUGCCCCUGAGCACGUCAUCGCGCUCGUGCUGCUCCCAGGAGCCGAACUAGCCCACCUACUCAUUCCACCGUGCACCACAACGCCGAUUCCAAGCACUCCCGAACUCCGGCCGCCGCUGCCAAAGCUCGCCGGUGUCAUUUCCGGCCUCCCCGCACCCAACCGCCUGCACCACUCGACGCACGCGAGCUCCAGCUACUCGUAGAUGGGCUUCGCCGUUGAUUUGGUCACCGGAGGAAGAUUUCCGAGCCUCGCCGCCGUGUCUGGCCUCGCCGGCGUCGAGUCGCCGGCAGGUUUGACCUGUUCGACCCGAGGGUUUGACCUCCCUGGGGUCAACAAACGUGGGCCCGCCCUUGACUGGAUUAGUUUAGGCUCUAAUUAACCCACACCCACUGACACCGGGCCCCACCCCCUAAACUAACCCCUAGUUAAAUUAGUUUAACAAAAAAAUAACUCUCUAUUAGUACAGAGCCUAUGACAUGCGGGCCCCAGAGUCAGGUUUGACGUGGACCCGUCCUAUUGACUAGAUGAUGUCAAAGUGACGCAGUGAUGAGGUCAUAAAUGCUUUUCUGGAUUUUAAAUAAAUCAAAAAUGAUUUGUUUAAUUCAGAAAAUAUCCAAAACUUUGAAAAGUCAUAGAAUUUCAACCGUAACUCCAAAUAAGAUAAAUGAUAUAUACAAAAUUAUCAGAAAAAUCCAAGGAAUCUGUUUAUGGCAUUUUCAUGCAUGUUUGAGCAACUUAACCUCACUGUUUAGUCCAAAACAUGAUAAUGCACUAUUUGAAUUCAUAGUUUGAAUUUGAUUUUGAACCUUGAGUUCAAAUCAACCCAAAACCUUUCUGUUACUAGUUGCAUUAGCUCAAAUCACAACAUAUUGUCAUGUCAUGAUCAUGCAUCAUAUUGUGCAUUGCAUUGAUUGUGCUCUUCCUUGUUUGCCGGUAAUUGUCCCCUCUCGGUAGACGCUGCUCCGACGCUGUGAUCGUUGACACUGAUGAAGACUCAAUGUUAUCUUCAGAAGUGCCAGGCAAGCAAAACCCCCUUGUUCAUUCUGAUACAAUCCCACUCUCUCGCUCCUGCUCUCUUUUACUGCAUUAGGGCAACACCGAUUCAACUGUUACAUGCUGCAGUAGCUGAACCUUUUCCUCUGCAUGACCUGUCAUUGCCACGGUAAAUAGUUGAAACCCACUAGCAUGAGUAGGAGUUGUUUGAGCCCUGAUGUGCCUACUCAUUCAUGCUUGUUUGUCAUGCCUGCUACUGCUUAGAGUUGAGUCUAGUCUGAUUCAUCGGGAAUGAAUUGGAACAUGGUGAACAUGUCCUACCGUUGAGAGCUAAGUGUGUGAACAUGAUUUGGUAAAGGUAGCGGUGAGAGGCCAUGUCGGAGUACAUGGUGGGUUGUCUCAUUGCAGUCGUCCUCAAGAACUGAGUCCUGUGUUUGUGAUCCAUGAACAGUUACUGCCACACAUUGGGUUCCGGUAACUCGGCCCCUCUCGGUUUAUUAAUCAACUCAAUCUCUGUCCAGGAGUUGCAACUAGUUUCUGGUGUUUGUAGGUAGUGUUAGUAGUCUACCAAGUGGCACCCGGUACAGGUGGGCUUGGGACAGACUAGGCAUUGUGGCACAGUGUACCAAGUGGCACCCGGAUGGUGGGCUUGGGAACCCUGCUCACAUCGUUUGGGGCCAUGAGCGACUCCCCGGCCGGAUCUCCUUGCAGAUGGAACCCGAAUAGGCGAUAAACCUGGACUAGAGACUUGUUGGUUAGUCAGGUCGUGGCCGACGCCCUCGCCCGGCUUCCGCUUGAAGGUUGCCGAGGUACAUGACGUGUACAAGGUGAUAGGUGACGAGAGCGUGUGCGAAGAAGUACACCCCUGCAGGGUUAUCACUAUCUAUUUGAAUAGCCGGAUUCCUCGGAUAUGGAGACUUGGACCCCUUGCAUAGAUCAUAGACAAGUGAAAGUGGAUACUCUAAAACUCGCAAGAUAAGCGUGAGUGCUAUGGAUGGCGUUAUCACAGGGAGAUGGGAGUGGAUCCAUAGUGGUGUAUUAGUAUGGUGAAUUUGUGGACUCGCGUGCAUCACCUCAAAAGAGUUACUUACAGUCAUAGUUCAGGUUAGCCACUGAGUCAAAGCUGGCUUGCUGAAGUUAAACUCCACCACCCCCUUUGUUGAUAUCGAUGCAUGUGUAGCUAGUUCUGAUGUAAGUCUUGCUGGGUACAUUUGUACUCACGUUUGUCUAAUUUAUGUUUUGCAGAGAGACUUCAGUCUCGCUAGUAGUUCCACGUGGACUUCGACGUUUAGCUUGAUACCUCAGCUACGAUCUUGUGCCCUCGGCAGGAUCUGGUAGAUAGUCAGGCUUCUCCGCCUUUUUCAUUUAUAGAUGUCUGUACUCAGACAUGUUAAGCUUCCGCAUGUGCUUUGAUUGUAUGCUAUGAUUGUUGGGUCAUGAGACCCAUGUUUGUAAUAUCUCGCUCCUCGGAGCCUAAUGAAUAAAUACUCUGAGUCGUAGAGUUAUGUUGUGAUGCCAUGUUGUAUUGCACAUAUUGAGCAUAUUGUGUGUAUGAUUGAAAUGCUUGGUAUGUGUGGGAUCCGACAACCUAGUUGUUUAUCCUUGGUAGCCUCUCUUAUGGGGAAAUGUAGUCUUGUGCUUCCAUGAGCCAUAUAGUCCGCUAUAGCCCGGUUCACCGGAGUCCUGCUAGCCCAGCGCUACUGCUCCGGAACACUUGACUGGCCGGUAUGUGAUUCGCUUCGUUCCUGUGUCUGUCCCUUCGGGGAAAUGUCACGCGGUGACAUCCGGAGUCCUGCCUAGCCUGCUACAGCCCGGUUCACCGGAGUCCUGUUAGCCCAGUGCUACAGCCCGGAUUCACAUGCUGUUGACCGACAUGCUCGAUGGUGAUUCACGUAUGCCUGUCCCCGUAAGUUAGUGCCACUUUGGGUUCACGACUAGUCAUGUCGGCUCGGGUUCUCUAUCAUAUGGAUGCUAGCGACACUAUCAUAUACGUGAGCCAAAAGGCGCAAAUGGUCCCGGGCCAUGGUAAGACGACACCCGUGGGAAUACCGUGCAUGAGGCCGCAAAGUGAUAUGAGGUGUUACCGGCUAGAUCGAUGUGACUUGGAAUCGGGGUCCUAACAGGAGAGAACUAUACCAAAUGUACCUUGACCGAUGUUGAGAAUGGAUCAAUGAUCACUCAAUGAUGUAACAAGGAAAUAGCACAAUUGGUACCGAUCUCGUCAAUUUCUCACAACUACAGAAAUAAGUCUUAUGGUGGUGCUCAGUGAGGAUAGUGGCACAAAAAUUUGAUGGAAAAUGUUAGCAAGAGUUAAUAAUGUUGAAAGAGAUUCACAAUUUCACAAGUGAAACAAGUAGACCAAUAGCAAUAUGGGUGGCACACGGAAACACACACACAGAUAGAUAAAUGGGGUCCUCCAACCAAGGAAAGUGCAAAAAUUGUGGAAUCCACAGAAAACGCUCGUGUUGCACAACUCAAGAGAGACGCUAGCACGAUUGCUCAGUAGGCGGAUACGACACUUGUGCACAACCUAUAAGAUGCAAAAUGUAUCAACUUCUAUCCCAAAUAUGCUAUGUAUAUAUGGUUCCCGGUGUUCUGCUCAAGAUGGUCCAAGAUGAUCGGAUAUGACAAUCUUAUAUGCAAUGUGGUAUGAUGUUAUGGCUAUUGCUUACAAGCUCUUUUGUUUCUCUUUUUCUUUGCUUAAAAGCUUAUUCUUUUUUCUCUUUUUUUGAUAUGGGCACAAUGCGAAAUGCACAAACCAAGAUAGCAAUUGUGUAUGUGCGGGAGCAAUCUUGUGACACAAUGGAUGAUAGGAUACCAAGAUGAUACCGAUUGGUAUGGUAUGUAUGCAAUGGAAGGUGUAGAUCGAUGAUCACUAAUGUGCACAAGUAACGUUUCCGGCAAUACUCAAAUGGCUAGUCUCGAUAGGCAAGUAACGCAAAAUGGGCUAGGGGUUAUCAAUGCAAUUGCAAGGGGAAUAUACAAUGGUGUCAUUGAGGUUACCGUUCGUUGUGAUGAUGAGUGGCGGUGUUCUUGAUGUAGAACCGUUCCUAAUUAGCCGAAACACCUUAGGAAACGGAAAAACUGCAAACUCAAAAUCUCAAAUGUCAAAUGUCAAAUGGUGGUAGUGGGAAAGCGGUGGUGGUUUUGUGGAAGCUCAAUGGGAUUGCGGGAGUGCAAUGAUGGGUUAUGCGAGUAGGCAAUGCGAAAGUGGAGGUUAUUGGGUUAUGUGGGUCGGAGUUGAAGGUCACCGUCCCUAAGUAGCCGAAACAACUUAGGAGACACAACUCACAACUCAAACAAAAUUGGGUUAUGUUGGGGUGGCAGAACUGUAUGGUGGGCAAGCCUAUUUGGUAGUGGUGGUGGUGGUUGAUGAAGAAGCAACCAUCCCUAAGUAUCCAAAACACCUUAUGAGACUCCAAUCAUAACUUAAACAACCACUAAUGCUAUAUGGAUCAAAAUGGGUUAGGUUGGGGAAGUCGGUGGUGGUAAUGCGGAUGAUGUGGUGGAAGCCCUAGGCAAAUAUGCCAAAGUUGGAAAAUUUUGAUGGUGUCAAAUGAUGUUGGUGGUAUUUUUGUGGGAUGGGGGAUGUCAAUAGCUUCAAAACGAGCUAAAGAAUGUCAAAAUCGGAGUUCAUAUGAAUUAGUUAUGGGCAAAACAAAAAUCAGCCAAAGUUGAUAUCUACAAGUGUCAGACGUCCGGUAAUGGACGGAUGUCCGGUCAUCGGACAUCUAGUCGGGCUCGUAAAUCCGCUGUUUCAGCUUGGGUUAGGGGUUCCGGUCGUCCGGUAAAGGUCGGGCGUCCGGUGGGUCGGGGUCAACGCGGGAUUUGAGCUCCGGGAUGCGAUUUUGGGCGGAAUUUGGGGAUUUUGGGGUCAAAAUUGAAGAGAUUUCGUGGAUGGAAAGUGGGGAGACUUGGGGAAAUGCUAGAUCCACUUGAAAUCACGCAAAUCCAUGGAUAAAAAUCAACAAAACAUCAUCAAACCAAAAAAUCACAAAAAAAAUUGGGGCUAUUUUUGGUGGGGAUUUUUGAAAUUGGGGAAGAACACAACAAAAUCAAGCUAGAAAAUGGGGGGUAGGGGCUCCAAAUUCAUGAUAAAUCUUGCUUUGAUCCAAGAUGAUCAUGAGCAAGUUAUCUCUGAUCCAAGAUGAUGUAGGGUGGAACCCUAGUGGCUGAUCUUUCAUGAUUUGGAGAGGAUCCCACGAAAAACACGAAGAACACGACAGCAAACGCGAGGUAAAUCAUGAGGGGAAACGAGAAACACUCAAAUCAACAAGCAACGAUCACACAUGUGCUAGAUUAUCGAAACACAAAGAGAUACAUGACCCAAGGUCGACAAAGGAUGAUACAAAUGGUAACUAGUUCAUCUCCGUGAGGAGGUCUUGAGGGGUCAUCCCAUGAAGGGGUCUUGAAUCCAAGGUGGAUCUUCUCUCUAGAGGUGCGGUCUCUCUCGAUGGAGUAGAUCCGUAUGGAUGAGCAAAGCUCUAUCUCAAAUGAGCUAAACCUAUGCUAACCCUAACUAGGAGGAGGGGUGUCCUAUUUAUAGUCAUAGUGCAAAUGGGGCGAAGUGAAGGGGUACAUGGGCCUUGGGCCCGAAAAUGUGCGCAGACUUCCAUCACUUCGGCUCAGUUAAGGUGGCACCGGAUUUCUGGAGACGGCCGGUCGUUGGUCAUCCGGUACUUGUCGGACGUCCGGUGGCUGUAGCGUUUGCUGGCGUGGCUUCUUCUGGCUAGCGUGGCCUUCAGGGACCGGACGUCCGGUCUGGAGCGGUCGUCCAAUGGCUGUAGCUCUUCUUGCAGCUCUUCCUCUUGUUCCUCGCACUUGGUGUCCUUGUCGUCUUGUCCAAUGCUCCCAGCUGUUGCAUGGCCCUCCUCUUGGUUCCUGGUCAUGCAUAGCACAUAUGUUUGAGGUAGUAGCCAUGUCUCACAUGUGGAAAGUGAAGGUUCGGAGAGGAGUGAGUUCACCUUGUGUCCAAUGGCAUAUAGUCGAGGUCUCAUCUUAUGUAUCCUUGGGUCAUGGGGAGUGGUCGAAGUGAACAUGGGGAUGAUCGUAGGAUGCUCCGCAUCAACUAGGUUUUGAGAGAAGAUGGUGCUAGUGAAUAUGUUGAUGAAGACUGACCCUCCCUCGAUGAGAGGAUCCUUGGUGAUGAUGAUGGCUCUGAUUUCCCCCUCACGAGGGGAAGUUUGCUCGGUAAAAUCGCCCUGCCCGAGCCCUAGAUUGUUUCUAUCCAAGUUCCGCCUCGAGAUGGCGGCACUUCGUCCCGAAAGCUUCCUUCUGAUUUUUUUCUAGGUUAAAACCCUACAUAUAGCAGAAGAUGGGCACUGGGGGCUCACCAGGGGGGCCACAAGCUCAUGGGGCGUGCCCAGGGGGGUAGGCCGCGCCCCCCAGGCCUAUAGCCACCUGGUGGGCCCCCUUCUAUUCUUUCUUCAUCCUAUAUUUUUUGUAUUUUCCAAAACAAUUCUCCAUAAAGUUUCAGGACAUUUGGAGUUGUGCAAAAUAGGUAUCUCAGAUUUGCUCCUUCUUGGUCCAGAAUUCCUGUUGCCAGCAUUCUCCAUCUUCAUGUAAAUCUUGUAAAAUAGGAGUGAAAAGGCAUAAGUAUUGUACCAUAAUGUGAAAUAACAGUCCACAAUGCAAUCAAUAUCAACGAAAAACAUGAUGCAAAAUGGACGUAUCAACUCCCCCAAGCUUAGACCUUGCUUGUCCUCAAGCGAAAGCCGAAAUCGAUAAUCAUGACCACAUGCUUAGAGAUAGAGGUGUCGAUAAAACAAAAUACAGGCAUGAGGGCAUCAUGAUCAUCUUUAGAACAUCAACAUAUUGUCAUAUAACUUCUCAUGCCAAAAUGAUAAUUUGUCCACAAGGUAAAGUAUGAACCAAAAACUUUAUUGAAAACUAACAAACUAUGAUCUCGGUCAUUGUGGCAAUUGCAGUUUACCAUAAUAUCAUGUAGAGUCAAUCUAAGAGCUUUUAUUUAGCAAGUCCACAUACUCAACCAUCUUUUAGUCUUUCAUAAUUUCUAACACUCACGCGAUAUUUAUGAGAUCAAAAUUGUAAUCAGACACAAAUAAAGAUAGGGGCUUAUAGUUUGGCCUCCCAACCAUUUACCUAAAGGGUAAUGUCAACAAUAAUAAUUUGUGGUCACCUACAUCCGAGUGGAUAUUUAUGUCUGGUUCUUUCCCCAACACAUAGUGCUUCCCAAAAAGAGAAAGUGUAAAAAGGAAGGGGAAGAUCACCAUGACUCUUGCAUAAAGGUAGAAGGUAACAAUAAAAGAUAGGCCCUUCACAGAGGGAAGCAGAGGUUGUCAUGCGCUUUUUGUUUGGAUUCACGAACUCUUAAUGCAAUGGAACAUCACUUUAUAUUGCCGCUUGUGAUAGAGAACUUUAUUAUGCAGUCCAUCGCUUUUAUUUCUUUCGUAUCACAAGUUCAUAUAAAUUUUAUUUUCCCCACACUAAAAUAUAGUGCAUAUUUAGAGAGAAAUUUUUAUUGCUUGCACCGAUGAGAACUUACUGGAAGGAUCUUACUCAAUCCAUAUGUAGAUAUAGUGGACUCUCAUGGCAAAACUGGGUUAAAGGUUUUUGGAUGCACAAGUAGUAUGUCUACUUGGUGCAGAAGAUUUGGCUAGCAUAGGAUGAGAAGCAAGCUCAACAUGUUAGAGGAUCCAUGACAAUAUAACUUCUAUUUGGACAUAAGGGAACAUAAAACAUUACGUUGUCUUCCUUGUCCAACAUCAACUUAUUAGCAUAUAAUAUUUUAAUGAGUGCUCACAAUCAUAAAGGAUGUCCGAGAUAGUGUAUUUAUAUGUGAAGCUUCUCUUUCUUCAUUACUUCCUAUUAAUUGCUACAAUGCCCAAUAAUAUGUUUGUCAACCCUCAACAAUUUUCAAGCAUCAUACCUCUUAUAUGUGAAGUCAUCACUCUCCAUAAGAUUAUUAUACAUUCUUUUUAUUUCUUUUUACUCUUUUUCUUUUCCAAGAUCAAAGCAAGAAAGCAAAGCCCUCAACUCAAAACUAAUCUUUAUUAUAUAACUCUCACACUCGAUUACAUAGAUAGAUCAUGAAGCAAAAACUUAAAGACUAGAUCGUACUAAAAACUUUUAUUCUACUAGAUCACGAUAUAGCCAAAAGGAUCAAACUAAAAUAAACAAUAAAGAGAAAGAUGUGAUGGUGAAACGAUACCGGGACACCUCCCCCAAGCUUGGCACCAGCCAAGGGGAGUGCCCAUACCCAUGUACUCAAGUCUCCUUCUUCAGAGGUGGUGGUUGGUACCUCAUGAGCACUGCGUUGGUUUUUCCUUGAAGAGGAAAGGGUGAUGCAGCAAAGUAGCAUAAGUAUUUCUCUCAGUUUAUGAGAACCAAGGUAUCAAUCCAGUAGGAGAUCACGCUCAAGUCCCACGCACCUACACAAACAAAUAAGAACCUCGCAACCAACGCGAUAAAGGGGUUGUCAAGCCCUUCUCGGUCACUUACGAGAGUGAGAUCUAAUAGAUAUGAUAAGAUAAUAUUUUUGGUAUUUUUAUGAUAAAGAGAAAUAAAGAUGCAAAGUAAAAUAAACGACAAAGGAAAUAACUAAGUGUUGGAAGAUUAAUAUGAUGGAAGAUAGACCCGGGGGCCAUAGGUUUCACUAGUGGCUUCUCUCAAGAGCAUAAGUAUUGCGGUGGGUAAACAAAUUAUUGUCGAGAAAUUGAUAGAAAAGCGAAUACUUAUGAGAAUAUCUAGGUAUGAUCAUGUAUAUAGGCAUCACGUCCGAGACAAGUAGACCGAAACGAUUCUGCAUCUACUACUAUUACUCCAAACAUCAACCGCUAUCCAGCAUGCAUCUAGAGUAUUAAGUUCAUAAGAAUAGAGUAAUGCUUUAAGGAAGAUGACAUGAUGUAGAGGGAUAAACUCAUGCAAUAUGAUAUAAAUCCCAUCUUUUUAUCCUGGAUGGAAACAAUACAAUACGUGUCGGUACCCUUUCUGUCACUGGGAUCAAACACCGCAAGAUUGAACCCAAAGCUAAGCAUUUCUCCCAUUGCAAGAAAGAUCAAUAUAGUAGGCCAAACAAAACUGAUAAUUCGAAGAGACUUGCAAAGAUAAACCAAUCAUACAUAAAAGAAUUUAGAGGAGAAUCAAACAUUGUUCAUAGAUAAUCUAGAUCAUAAAGCCACAAUUCAUCGGAUCUCGACAAACACACCGCAAAAGAAGAUUACAUCGAAUAGAUCUCCAAGAAGAUCGAGGAGAACUUUGUAUUGAGAUCCAAAGAGAGAGAAGAAGCCAUCUAGCUAAUAACUAUGGACCCGUAGGUCUGAAGUAAACUAUUCACACAUCACCGAGAGGCCAUGGAGUUGAUGUAGAGGCCCUCUGUGAUCAAUGUCGCCUCCGGUGGAGCUCCAGAAAAGGCCCCGAGAUGGGAUCUCUCGAGUACAGAAGGUUGCGGCGGUGGAAUUAGGUUUUCAUGGUGCUCCUGGAUGUUUGGGGGUACGUGGAUAUAUAUAGGAGGAAGAAGUACGUCGGUGGAGCAACGGAGGGCCCACGAGGGUGGAGGGCGCGCCUAGGGGGGUAGGCGCGCCCCUACCUCGUGCCUUCCUCCCUUGUUUCUUUAUGGACACUCCAAGUCUCCUAGAUCACGUUUGUUGAGAAAAUCACGUUCCCGAAGGUUUCAUUCCGUUUGGACUCUGUUUGAUAUUCCUUGUCUUCGAAAUCCUAAAAUUGGCAAAAAACAACAAUUUGGGUUGGGCCUCCAGUUAGUAGGUUAGUCCCAAAAAUGAUAUAAAAGUGUAAAAUAAAGCCCAUUAACAUCCAAAAUAGAUAAUAUAAUAGCAUGGAGCAAUCAAAAAUUAUAGAUACGUUGGAGACGUAUCAAGCAUCCCCAAGCUUAAUUCCUACUCGUCCUCGAGUAGGUAAAUGAUAAAAGUAGAAUUUUUGAUGUGGAAUGCUUUCUAACAUAUUUCUCAAUGUAAUUUUUCUUUAUUGUGGCAUGAAUGUUCAGAUCCGAAAGAUUCAAGAUAAAAGUUUAAUAUUGACAUAAAAAUAAUAAUACUUCAAGCAUACUAACUAAGCAAUCAUGUCUUCUCAAAAUAACAUGGCCAAAGAAAGUUAUCCCUACAAAAUCAUAUAGUCUGGCUAUGCUCUAUCUUCACCACACAAACAAUUUAUCAUGCACAACCCUGAUGACAAGCCAAGCAAUUGUUUCAUACUUUUGAUGUUCUCAAACUUUUUCAAUCUUCACGCAAUAUAUGAGCGUGAGACAUGGAUAUAACACUAUGGUGGAAUAGAAUGGUGGUUGUGGAGAAGACAAAAAGUAGAAGAUAGUCUCACAUCAACUAGGCGUAUCAACGGGCUAUGGAGAUGCCCAUUAAUAGACAUCAAUGUGAGUGAGUAGGUAUUGCCAUGCAACGGAUGCACUAGAGCUAUAAGUAUAUGAAAGCUCAACAAAAGAAACUAAGUGGGUGUUCAUCCAACUUGCUUGCUCACGAAGACCUAGGGCAUUUUGAGGAAGCCCAUCAUUGGAAUAUACAAGCCAAGUUCUAUAAUGAAAAAUUCCCACUAGUAUAUGAAAGUGAUAUCAUAGGAGACUCUCUAUAUGAAGAACAUGGUGCUACUUUGAAGCACAAGUGUGGAAAAAGGAUAGUAGCAUUGUCCCUUCUCUCUUUUUCUCUCAUUUUUUCGGGCCUUCUUUCUUUUUUGGCCUCUUUUCUCUUUUUUUUAUUUUUUUUCAUCCGGAGUCUCAUCCCGACUUGUGGGGGAAUCGUAGUCUCCAUCAUCCUUUCCUCACUUGGGACAAUGCUCUAAUAAUGAUGAUCAUCACACUUUAUUUACUUACAACUCAAGAAUUACAAACUCAAUACUUAGAACAAAAUAUGACUCUAUGUGAAUGCCUCUGGCGGUGUACCGGGAUGUGCAAUGAUGCAUGAGUGACAUGUAUGAAAGAAUUAUGAACGAUGGCUUUGCCACAAAUACGAUGUCAACUACAUGAUCAUGCAAGCAAUAUGACAAUGAUGACGCAUGUCAUAAUAACGGAACGGUGGAAAGUUGCAUGGCAAUAUAUCUCGGAAUGGUUAUUGAAAUGCCAUAAUAGGUAGGUAUGGUGGCUGUUUUGAGGAAGGUAUAUGGUGGGUAUAUGGUAUCGGCGAAAGUUGCACGAUACUAGGGAGGCUAACAAUGGUGGAAGGGUGAGAGUGCGUAUAAUUCAUGGACUCAACAUUAGUCAUAAAGAACUCACAUACUUAUUGCAAAAAUCUAUUAGUUAUCGAAACAAAGUAUGACACGCAUGCUCCUAGGGGGAUAGAUUGGUAGGAAAAGACCAUCGCUCAUCCCCGACCGCCACUCAUAAGGAAGACAAUCAAUAAAUAAAUCAUGCUCCGACUUCAUCACAUAACGGUUCACCAUACGUGCAUGCUACGGGAAUCAGAAACUUCAACAUAAGUAUUUCUCAAAUUCACAAUUACUCAACUAGCAUCACUCUAAUAUCACCAUCUCCAUAUCUAAAAACAAUUAUCAAGUAUCAAACUUCUCAUGGUAUUUAAUGCACUUGUAUGAAAGUUUUUAUAUUAUAGCAAAUUUCCAUGUUGUUCUAAAUUACUCUCAAAUAAUAGAAGCGAAGCAUGAGAGAACAAUAGUUUCUAUAAAACAAAUCCGCCACCGUUCUCUAAAAGAUAUAAGUGAAGCACUAGAGCAAAAACUAUAUAGCUCAAAAGAUAUAAGUGAAGCACAUAUAGUAUUCUAAUAAAUUUCAAAUCAUGCGAGUCUCUCUCAAAAGGUGUGUACAGCAAGGAUGAUUGUGGUAAACUAAAAAGCAAAGGCUCAAAUCAUACAAGAUGCUCCAAGCAAAAUACAUAUCAUGUGGUGAAAAAAAAUAUAGCUCCAAGUAAAGUUACCAAUAGACGAAGACGAAAGAGGGGAUGCCUUCCGGGGCAUCCCCAAGCUUAGGCUUUUUGGUGUCCUUGAAUUUUACCUUGGGGUGCCAUGGGAAUCCCCAAGCUUAUGCUCUUGCCACUCUUUGUUCCAUAAUCCAUCAAAUCUUUACCCAAAACUUGAAAACUUCACAACACAAAACUGAAAAUAGAAAAUCUCAUGAGCUCCGUUAGCGAAAGAAAACAAAACUCCACUUCAAGGUACUGUAAUGAACUCAUUCUUUAUUUAUAUUGGUGUUAAACAUACUGUAUUACAAACUUCUCUAUGGUUUAUAAACUCUUUUACUAGCCAUAGAUUCAUCAAAAUAAGCAAACAACACUAGAAAAACAGAAUCUGUCAAAAACAGAACAAUCUGUAGUAAUCUGUAGCUAACACAAGUUCUGGAACCCUAAAAAUUCUAAAAUAAAUUGCUGGACGUGAGGAAUUAUCUACUAAUCAUCUCCAAAAAGAAUUAACUAAAUAGAACCUUCCAAAUAAAAAUGACAGCAAUUCUCGUGAGCGCUAAAGUUUCUGUUUUUUACAGCAAGAUCAAAAAGACUUUCCCCAAGUCUUCCCAACGGUUCUACUUGGCACAAACACUAAUUAAACACACAAAACACAACCAAAACAGAGGCUAGAUAAAUUAUUUAUUACUAAACAGGAUCAAAAAGCAAGGAAUAAAAAUAAAAUUGGGUUUCCUCCCAACAAGCGCUAUCGUUUAACGCCCCUAGCUAGGCAUAAAAGCGAAGAUAGAUCUAGGUAUUGCCAUCUUUGGUAGGCAAUCCAUAAGUGGAUCUCAUAAUAGAUUCAUAUGGUAAUUUAAUUUUAUUUCUAGGGAAGUGUUCCAUGCCUUUCCUUAACGGAUAUUGGAAUCUAAUAUUCCCUUCCUUCGUAUCAAUAAUUGCACCAAUCGUUUUAAGGAAAGGUCUACCAAGAAUAAUAGGACAUGAAGGAUUGCAAUCUAUAUUAAGAACAAUGAAAUCUACGGGCACAUAGUUCCUAUUUGCAACAAUAAGAACAUAAUUAAUUCUUCCCAUAGGUUUCUUAAUAGUGGAAUCCGCAAGGUGCAAGUUUAAAGAACAAUCAUCAAAAUCACGGAAACCUAGCAAAUCACACAAAGUUUUUGGAAUUGUGGAAACACUAGCACCCAAAUCACACAAAACAUAGCACUCAUGAUCUUUAAUUUUAAUUUUUAUUGUAGGUUCCCACUCAUCAUAAUGUUUUCUAGGGAUAGAAACUUCCAACUCAAGUUUUUCUUCAUCAGAUUGCAUCAAAGCAUCAACUAUAUGUUUAGGAAAAGCUUUAUUUUGACUAUAAGCAUGAGGAUAAUUUAGCACGGAUUGCAACAAGGAAAUACAAUCUAUCAAAUAGAAAUUAUCAUAAUUAAAUUCCUUGAAAUCCAAAAUAGUGGGUUCAUUGAUAUUUAAAGUUUUGACCUCUUCAAUCCCACUUUUAACAAUUUUAGCAUCAAGAUCUAAAGACUCCGAAUUUUUGGAACGCCUUCUAGGUAAAGGUGGCUCAUCUUUAGCCCCAUCAUUAUCAAGAUUCAUAUUGCAAAAAAAGAUUUAAUAGGGGGCGCAUCAAUAACUUUUAUAUCUUCAUCCUUAUUAUCAUGAAAACUAGAAGAACACGCUUUCACAAAGCAAUCUUUCUUAGCACGCAUCCUAGCGGUUCUUUCUUUGCACUCAUCAAUGGAAAUUCUCAUGGCUUUGAGAGACUCAUUGAUAUCAUGCUUAGGUGGAAUAGAUAUAAGUUUCAAAGAAUCAACAUUAAGAGAAAUCCUAUCAACGUUCCUAGCCAACUCAUCAACCUUAAGAAAUUUUUCUUCAAGCAAAGCAUUGAAAUUCUUUUGCGAAUUCAUAAACUCCUUAACACUAGUCUCAAAUUCAGAGGGCAUCUUAUUAAAAUUUCCAUCAGAAUUGUUGUAGGAAUUACCAUAAUUAUUAUAGGAAUUACUAGGAAACGUCCUAGAAUUAAAAUUACCUCUAUACGCGUUGUUACCAAAAUUGUUCCUACCAACAAAAUUCACAUCCAUAGAUUCAUUAUUAUUCUCAAUCAAAGUAGACAAAGGCAUAUCAUUAGUAUCAGUAGGAGCACUCUUAUUAGCAAACAAUUUCAUAAGUUCAUCCUCUUUCCACUCAAAACAUUAAUCUCUUCAAUUGCAUGCACUUUUUUAUUAGUAGAUCUUUCGGUGUGCCAUUGAGAAUAAUUAACCAUAAUAUUAUCUAGGAGUUUAGUGGCCUCUCCUAAAGUGAUUUCCAUAAAAGUGCCUCCCGCGGCCGAAUCUAAAAGAUUUCUAGAAGCAAAAUUCAAUCCAGCAUAAAAGUUUUGUAUAAUCAUCCAAAGAUUCAAACAAUGUGUAGGGCAAUUACGUACCAUUAAUUUCAUCCUCUCCCAAGAUUGUGCAACAUGUUCAUGAUCAAGUUGCUUAAAAUUCAUAAUAUCGUUUCUAAGAGAGAUGAUCUUAGCGGGAGGAAAAUACUUAGAGAUAAAAGCAUCUUUGCACUUAUUCCAUGAAUCAAUACUAUUUUUAGGCAAAGACGAAAACCAAGCUUUAGCAUGAUCUCCAAGCGAAAAUGGAAAGAGCUUCAAUUUAACAAUAUCAUUGUCCACAUCUUUCUUCUUUUGCAUCUCACACAAAUCAACAAAGUUGUUUAGAUGGGUAGCGGCAUCUUCACUAGGAAGGCCGGAGAAUUGAUCUUUCAUGACAAGAUUCAACAAAGCAUCAUUAAUUUCACAAGAUUCAGCAUCGGUAAGAGGAGCAAUCAGAGUGCUAAUAAAAUCAUUGUUUUUUGGUAUUGGCAAAUUCACACAAUUUAGUAUUAUCUUGAGCCAUCAUGACAAGCAAGCAAUCCAACACACAAGCAAACAAGAAAGAGGCAAAAGAGGCAAAUAGGGAAAUAGAAGGGGAACGGAGAGAGAGAGAGAGAGGGCGAAUAAAACGGCAAGGGUGAAGUGGGGGAGAGGAAAACGAGAGGCAAAUGGCAAAUAAUGUAAUGCGAGGGAUAAGAGUUUGUGAUGGGUACUUGGUAUAUUUUGACUUGGUAAUGGCGCCUGAAAUGACUCCUUGUUGGGAGUGAAAUCUUGACUUGACUUGGCGCGAAUCUCCCCGGCAACGGCACCAAAAUUCCUUCUGGCUACCUCUUGAGCACUAUGUUGGUUUUCCCUUGAAGAGGAAAGGGUGAUGCAGCAAAGUAGCGUAAGUAUUUCCCUCAGUUUUUUAGAACCAAGGUAUCAAUCCAGUAGGAGAUCACGCUCAAGUCCCACACACCUACACAAACAAAUAAGAACCUCGCAACCAACAUGAUAAAGGGGUUGUCAAGCCCUUCUCGGUCACUUACGAGAGUGAGAUCUGAUAGAUAUGAUAAGAUAAUAUUUUUGGUAUUUUUAUGAUAAAGAGAAAUGAAGAUGCAAAGUAAAAUAAACGGCAAAGGAAAUAACUAAGUGUUGGAAGAUUAAUAUGAAGGAAGAAAGACCCGGGGGCCAUAGGUUUCACUAGUGGCUUCUCUCGGGAGCGUAAGUAUUGCGGUGGGUAAACGAAUUACUGUCGAGCAAUUGAUAGAAAAGCUAAUACUUAUGAGAAUAUCUAGGUAUGAUCAUGUAUAUAGGCAUCACGUUUGAGACAAGUAGACCGAAACGAUUCUGCAUCUACUACUAUUACUCCACACACCGACUGCUAUCUAGCAUGCAUCUAGAGUAUUAAGUUCAUAAGAACAGAGUAAUGCUUUAAGGAAGAUGACAAGACAUAGAGGGAUAAACUCAUGCAAUAUGAUAUAAACCCCAUCUUUUUAUCCUCGAUGGCAACAAUACAAUACGUGUCGGUUCCCUUUCUGUCACUGGGAUCGAACACCGCAAGAUUGAACCCAAAGCUAAGCACUUCUCCCAUUGCAAGAAAGAUCAAUCAAGUAGGCCAAACCAAACUAAUAAUUCGGAGAGACUUGCGAAGAUAAACCAUCAUACAUAAAAGAAUUCAUAGGAAAAUCAAAUAUUUUUCAUAGAUAAUCUGGAUCAUAAACCCACAAUUCAUCGGAUCUCGACAAACACACCGCAAAAGAAGAUUACAUCGAAUAGAUCUCCAAGAAGAUCGAGGAGAACUUUGUAUUGAGAUCCAAAGAGAGAGAAGAAGCCAUCUAGCUAAUAACUAUGGACCCGUAGGUCUGAAGUAAACUACUCACACAUCACCGGAGAGGGCAUGGAGUUGAUGUAGAGGCCCUCCGUGACCAAUGCCCCCUCCGGCAGAGCUCCAAAAAAGGCCCCGAGAUGGGAUCUCUCCAGUACAGAAGGUUGCGGUGGUGGAAUUAGGUUUUCGUGGUGCUCCUGGAUGUUUGGGGGUACGUGGAUAUAUAUAGGAGGAAGAAGUACAUCGGUGGAGCAACGGAGGGCCCACGAGGGUGGAGGGCGCGCCCAGGGGGGUAGGCGCCCCCUGCCUCGUGCCUUCCUCCCUUGUUUCUUGACGGCCACUCCAAGUCUCCUGGAUCACGUUUGUUGAGAAAAUCACGUUCCCGAAGAUUUCAUUCUGUUUGGACUACGUUUGAUAUCCUUUUCUUCGAAACCCUAAAAUAGGCAAAAAAACAACAAUUUGGGUUGGGCCUCCGGUUAAUAGGUUAGUCCCAAAAAUGAUAUAGAAGUGUAAAAUAAAGCCCAUUAACAUCCAAAAUAGAUAAUAUAAUAGCAUGGAGCAAUAAAAAAUUAUUGAUACGUUGGAGACGUAUCAGUGGUGUAAUAUUCUUGGCAAUGAUGCCCUUCAGGAUGCGAUUUUGCUCCUCGAUCUUGUUGACUUGCUGUUUGAGAUCCAUAAUUUCCUUAUGUAGCUUUCCGGUGACAGUUAAGGCACCGUCCACCCAUAGAUGCAUCCUUGCUACAAAGGAAGAAGCAACACUCUUUUUCAAGUUAUUGUAAGAUAUAAAUUUAGCACCGGGAGGUUUGACCGAAUUCGGGAUGAUUGAGGCAUUGAGUUCAACAUGCAUGGCUCCAGGUUGAGAGAGACAAGUGACUUCAUGGACCUCUUCCAUGGUAUCCACUCUUUUCAGGCCGUCUUCCAUCUCUUCCUCUGUCGACCACCCAAAGGGAUUAGCAUCAUUGUAUGCUCUUGGAUCCGGUGUUGGGUGGGAGACCCGACUCUCCCAGACUGACUCUUGCAAAUACAUCUUGCUAUAAAUCAGCUGCAGAAGUAGCUCGAAACGAAAACAUACGAUAUUGUCGUAAUACGGUGGUCAAAACCUUCGGGAGAUUAUAUAAUGAAUUUUUACUGUGCAAAACAAGUAUUCUGGGAGAAAAUGGAGUCCGGAGGGCACACGAGGUGGGCACAAGCUUGGGAGGCGCUCCUAGGGGGGUAGGGCGCCCCCCAGGCUUGUCGCCUGCUCGUGCGCUUUUUUAAAUAUUCCAAAACGGAGUAAAAUUGCUUUUGGAAAACUUUUGGAGUUGGUUUACUUACUAUAUCACAUACCUAUUGCUUUUCAGGGUUCUGGAGCGUGCUGGAAGGUUUCAUUUAUGUACUCCUCUGGUGUUAAUGUAUGAAUAAUAUUAGUUUCAACAUUUAUGGGCGUGCCUGAUAUAUAAUGUUUGAUUCUUUGGCCAUUAACCACCUUUGGGUUAUUGGCCUCGGCAUUGUUGAUCUUGAUGGCACCGGAAUGAUAAACAUCUUUGAUAAUGUAAGGGCCUUCCCAUUUGGAGAGAAGUUUUCCUGCAAAAAAUCUUAAAGGAGAGUUGUAUAGCAAGACAUGGUCACCUACAUUAAAUUUCCGCUACUGUAUUCUUUCGUCAUGCCAUAUUUUAACCUUUUCUUCAAACAUUUUAGCAUUUCAUAGGCCUGGGUUGUCCAUUCAUCAAGUGAUCUAAUGUCAAAUAACCUCUUUUCACCAGCAAGUUUGAAAUCAUAGUUGAGCUCUUUAAUUGCACAAUAAGCUUUGUGUUCUAAUUCAAGAGGUAAGUAACAUGCUUUUCCAUAAACCAUUUUAUAGGGAUACAUACCCAUAGGAUUAUUAUAAGCACAUAAUGCAUCAUCAAGUUUCUUAGACCAAUUCUUCCUAGAUCUAUUAACAGUCUUUUGCAAGAUCAAUUUUAUAUCCCUAUUACUUAAUUCGACUUGAACACUAGACUGAGGAUGAUAAGGAGAUGCAAUUCUAUGAUUAACAUCAUACUUAGCAAGCAAUUUACAGAAAGAACCAUGAAUAAAGUGUGAACUACCAUCAGUCAUUAAAUAUCUAGGGACUCCAAACCUCGGGAAAAUAACUUCUUUCAGCAUUUUAAAGGAAGUGUUGUGAUCAACACUACUAGUUGGAAUAGCUUCUACCCACUUAGUAACAUAACCAACAGUGACCAAAAUAUGUGUAUACCCAUUAGAGGAAGGAAAAGGUCCCAUAUAAUCAAAUCCCCAAACAUCAAAUGCUUCAAUAAAAAGUGAAUAAUUCAUAGGCAUUUCUUGACGUCUACUAAUAUUACCAAUUCUUUGACAUUCAUUAGAAGACAAUACAAAGUUACUAGCAUCUUUGAAAAUAGUAGGCCAAUAAAAACUAGAUUGUAAUACCUUGUGUGCAGUUCUAUCUCCAGCAUGGUGUCCCCCAUAAGCCUCGGAGUGACACUUGUGUAAGAUUUUUCCUGUUCAUGCUCAGGUACACAACAUCUAAUAACACAAUCUACUCCUUUAUAAAGUUGUGGGUCAUCCCAAAAGUAAUGUCUUAAAUCAUAGAAAACCUUUUUCUUUUGCUGGUAUGUGAAACUAGGUGGUAUAAAUUUAGCAACAAUAUAAUUAGCAUAGUCGGCAUACCAUGCAGUACUAUGAGAAGCAUUUAUGAUAGCUAGUUCUUCAUUAGGAAAUCCAUUAUCAAUAGGUAGUGGGUCAUCAAGAAUAUUUUCUAACCUAGACAAGUUGUCUGCUAUGGGGUUCUCAGCUCCCUUUCUAUCAAUAAUAUGCAAAUCGAAUUCUUGCAGCAAGAGAACCCACCUAAGUCUAGGUUUAGCAUCUUUCUUUUCCAUAUGGUACUUGAUAGUAGCAUGAUCAGUGUGAAUAAUUACUUUGGAAUCAACAAUGUAAUAUCUGAAUUUAUCACAAGCAAACACAACGUCUAAAAAUUCUUUUUCAGUGGUAACAUAAUGAUGUCUGCUAGAACUACAUUGGUAUUUCCCCAAAGAGGAAGGGAUGAUGCAGCACAACGACGGUAGGUAUUUCCCUCAGUGAUGCGACCAAGGUUAUCGAACCAGUAGGAGAACCAAGCAACACUACAUAGACAACAACUGCAAAAAAAACAAAUACUCGCAACCCGACGUGUUAAAGGGGUUGUCAAUCCAUUUCGGGCAAAUGCGCCAGAGAUAGGCAAACGGGCGUGAGAGAGUUGUAAAUAUUGAUAAACCGAAUGCCAAAUAAAGUGCAGCAGGGUAUUUUUGGUUUCAUAGAUCUAAAAAUAAAAGCGAAGGAAAAUAGAUCACAAAAGCACAUAUAUUAAAAAAGAGACCCUGCGGCCGUAGGUUUCACUAGUGGCUUCUCUCGAGAAAAAUAGAAAAUGGUGGGUAAACGAAUUACUAUUGGGCAAUUGAUAGAACUUCGAAUAAUCAUGACGAUAUCCAGGAAGUGAUCAUUAUAUAGGCAUCACGUCCAAGAUUAGUACACCGACUCCUGCCUGCAUCUACUACUAUUACUCCACACAUCGACCAAUAUCCAGCAUGCAUCUAGUGUAUUAAGUUCAUGGAAAGAUGGAGUAAUGCAAUAAGAACGAUGACAUGAUGUAGACAAGAUCUAUUUAUGUAGAAAUUGACCCAAUCUUGUUAUCCUUAAUAGCAAUGAUACAUACGUGUCAGUUCCCUUUCUGUCACUGGGGUCAAGCACCGUAAGAUCAAACCCAUCACAAAGCACCUCUUCCCAUUGCAAGAUAAAUAGAUCAAGUUCGCCAAACAAAACCCAAAUAUCGGAGAAGAAAUAGGAGGCUAUAAGCAAUCAUGCAUAUAAGAGAUCAAAGAAGACUCAAAUAACUUUCAUGGAUAAAAAGAUAGAUCUGAUCAUAAACUUAAAGUUCAUUGGAUGCCAACAAACACACCACAAAAAGAGUUACAUCAUAUGUGAUGAGGACAUCAAUACCAUUGUUACAACCACAACCCUUGCUGCUAUACAUACUGGACCAAUUACUAGAGCGCACGCAAAUUAAAUUAUCAGGUACUUUCGUUUCUUGGUAAUGAUUCUAAUGUUCAUGAGAAUUUGAUGCCGCCUAAAUUGGAUACAUUUGUUUUGCUUAAAAAUGAAGGGCCUGGCAUGGAUAAGAGGGAUGAACACUGGACCAAGACCAAGCAUGGAGAUGAUGGCAUGCGCAAGGGGAACAAGAACAGAGUUACAAGUGAUAAUUUCAGGACUUUGAAGCCACCAUAAGGAGUGCAUGAAGCCUUGGACGAAAUAUACAAGAUGCCACUUCAUAAAUUUCAUCCAGAGGCUGUUCUAGGUGCCGCGUAACCUUAUUAUUGGGCCAGGCCCAUGUAUUUUUGAAAUACUAAAGUAUAGGCUAUUUUUAGAGUCCGUAUGUGUGGGGAAACAAGAGUUAGGGUUGGUUUCAGUCCCCUCCCCCAAGGGCCACAAAAUUCCCCCUCUUCCUCCAUAUAUAUACAUCCCUUAGGGAAUCGUUUAGACUUUGGGUUUUGUUUAGAUUAAAAGUUCACCAUAGCUGCAACUUCGCAUAUUUCGUUUGUGUUCAACGACCAGACAAAGACGUCACAGAACCCCACCUUCAUCAAUAAAGCUUUCAUCUUAUAUUCGUAAUAUCCAGAUUGCAAUCUUAGUUUCUUGACUGUUCUUCGUUUGCUUGCAGGAAAUAGACCUUCGUAGUCAGGUUGAUCAUGCUCUAGCGUGGUCAAUAACCUCUUGGAGUUGGUUUAGCGAUUGCUAAGGCGCGAUGUCUUUGCACGUUCGUAGUCGGAUCGUCAAAGUCUACUCCUCCAAAACGAUAAUCACCAUCUCAUCGAAAGACGGGUCACAUUUGCCUCUAUCAAGUGGUAUCAGAUUUCCAGGUUGCUCGGUGAUAUUUUACAGUUUUCCUAGUUUAGGUCGAGUAUGUUAUUCAUACCUAUAGUCCACGAAUAAGCAAAAAAAAA